GGGGCUCAAGAACUGCACCGAGAAGGAGGAGAACUUCAGCGACACGGUCACCGCCGUCGUCGUGCCGCCAUACAUCGACAGCAGCGAGAUCGUCAAGCACGCAUGGAAGCGGUACAACCUCAGCCUCGGGCUCGGGCUCAACAAGGUCGCCGGCAAGGUCUUCAGGAUCGGCCACCUCGGCCACCUCAACGAGGUACGCACGCACGUCGCCCUAGAGAAACUGUUUGCAAUUUGCAUCGCCAAUGACCAAUGCGUGCUUGCCUGUCUUUGCUGCAGCUGCAACUUCUGGGUUGCCUCGGCGGGGUGGAGAUGGUGCUCAAGGACAUCGGGUACCCGGUGAAGCUUGGCAGCGGCGUGGCGGCCGCGGCGGCGUACCUCUCGAAUUCCACGCCCCUCAUCCCCUCCAGAAUCUGAGCAAAUUCCACGCACAAAAGCAAGGGGGUCGCGAGGAGAAGAACAAACACGUACAGUGUGCCCUGCUUGGGUCUGCUGCUGGGCACACGGCAGAGCACAGCAGAGCAGGCGUAGUAUUAUACUCUCUCUGUAUGUAAAGUUAAUUUUCACACACCCAUCUAUGCUAAAGGAGUAUAAUUUCGUCAACUGAAGCUUUAAUUAAAGGAAAUUGAACCCGGAGUAUUAUUACAUCAUGUGCCUCUCCCUCUCUUAGAUGGCUAGGCUUGGUAUUACUGAUUGGUCUACUCUGUUUCCUCCUACUGUGUAUAAGUUGUUUACAGUUUUAUAAGAGUAAAUUGCGCGAUGGUAGAACAUUUUGGACAAUGACGACGGAUUGGUAUCAAGAUUGGUAAUUUUUAUGUGUAAGUAAUAAGGCUCGGGCUAUACACUGCAAAUCGGGCUAAACUAUGUAUUUAGAUGUAUAGACGCCAAAACUGACGACCGGGCCCAGCGCGUCACGCGCCACGCUGGCCAACUGGCACGUGCCCGCGCGCUGACUAGGACCGAUCUGGCUCGAACCGCGUGUGUUUUAAAGCAGGUCCGAUUGGCCUCCUCGCUCAUGCCUCCCUCCCCGUGCGCUGCUCUCUUCCUCCUCGCUCUUGUCUCCCUUCAAGUCGCCCGCCUAGCCGCCUACAACACCGCCACAUUGAACCGCCGCCGUCAUGGUUUUCAAAGUCGAAAGAAGCGACGACACGUCUAGCCUUCCGUACAUGCACUUCACCGGUUCCAGGGACGGGCUUAAGCAGGUCGGUUCACUUGAGCUAGGUUUAGGGUUAGGAUUUCAGAUUUGUUUUUUUAUUUGAGUGAUUUAGCUGGGUUUUUGUUUGGGCAUUGUGUUUGUACGAGCUUGUGCACGCCCCUUUCAUCCUUGAAGAUCCCGAUUACAAGGGGCUUGAGCUCGAUAUGAUUGUCUUCUAUGAGAAGCAGGACAUGGCAUCGGAGAGGCUUAUUGCGUUUGAAGGAAAAGACACAUGGAGAAGGUUCUUAGCAUGUGUAGAGCCACUAUGAUCCAUUCAUGAUUUUGUACCUCUUGUAGUGAUUCACUUUGUGUGAUGCAAAUGCUCUUGUAGUGGUGCAAAAUAUGGUUGUAGUGAUUACACUAUGUAUUGCAUAUGCUCUUGUAGUGAUGCAAACUAUUUAGUUCAAUGGUAGUCAUAUUUUAUAGUGUAUAUGCUCUUGUUCUGGUUACAUUAUAUUCCGUAUGGCAGUUAUGUGUUGGAGCUUGCUCUUGUUUUGUAGUUGAGUGUUGCUGUAAUGUUGAAAUAUUUAGCUGAAUGUUGCUAUAAUUUUGGGAUGCACAUGUGUUAUUUUUGUUGAAAAUAUGUCCUAGGGGCAAUGAUAAAAUAGUUAUUAUUAUAUUUCCUGUUUCAAGAUAAUCGUUUAUUAUCCGUGCUAUAAUUGUAUUGAAUGAAAGCAUAAAUACAUGUGUGGAUAUAUAAACAAAACAAUGUCCCUAGCAAGCCUCUAGUUGGCUACCCAGUUGAUCAAGGAUGGUUAAGGUUUUCUGACCAUAUGCAAGUGUUGUCUCUUGAUAACUAGAUCACAUCAUUAGGAGAAUCAUGUGAUGGACUAGACCCAAACUAUGAACGUAGCAUGUGAUCGUGUCAUUUUGUUGCUAUUGUUUUCUGCGUGUCAAGUAUUCAUUCCUAUGACCAUGAGAUCAUGUAACUCACUGACACUGGAGGAAUACCUUGUGUGUAUUAAACGUCACAACGUUACUGAGUGACUAUAAAGGUACUCUAUAGGUAUCUCCGAAGGUGUCCGUUGAGUUAGCAUGGAUCAAGACUAGGAUUUGUCACUCCNNNNNNNNNNCGGUCCGAUGAGUGUGGAGGCCCACGGUGGAUAUUGUUAUUUUCUCACCUUCACUGACGAUUUGAGUAGGUAUGGAUAUAUCUACUUGAUGAAGCACAAGUCAGAAACGUUUGAGAAGUUCAAGCAAUUUCAGAGUGAAGUUGAAAAUCAUCAUAACAAGAAUAUCUGAGUUUCGAGUUUGGUGCUCACUUCAGACAAUGUGGAAUANNNNNNNNNNGUGCACUCACUUUAAAUAGGGCACCAUCAAAAUCCGUUGAGACGAGACCAUACGAGGUGUGGUAUGGCAAGAGGCCAAAGUUGUCAUUUCUUAAAGUUUGGGGAUGUGAUGCUUAUGUCAAAAAGCUUCAUCCUGAAAAGCUUGAACCCAAAGCGGAAAAGUGCAUCUUAAUAGGUUGCCCAAAGGAGACAAUUGGGUACACCUUCUAUCCCAGAUCCGAGGGCAAAGUGUUUGUUGCUAAGAAAGGAGCUUUUCUUGAGAAGGAUUUUCUCUCGAAAGAAUUGAGUGGGAGGAAGAUAGAACUUCAUGAGGUUGCCGAACCUCUAGUCCCUCUAGAUGGUGCUGCAGGGCAAGGGGAAACCUCUGUCGAAGCGACGCCGGUUGAGGAGGAAGCUAAUGAUGAUGAUCAUGAAGCUUCGGAUCAAGUUCCUAUCAUACCUCGCAGGUCGACAAGAUCACGUACUGCUCCUGAGUGGUACGGUAAUCCCGUCUUAUCAAUCAUGUUGUUAGACAACAAUGAACCUGCAAAUUAUGGAGAAGCAAUGGUGGGCCCAGAUUCCAACAAAUGGUGGAGGCCAUGAAGUGCGAGAUAGGAUCUAUGUAUGAAAACAAAGUGUGGACUUUGGAAGUAUUACCUGAAGGUCGCAAGGCUAUUGAGAACAAAUGGAUCUUUAAUAAGAAGACGGACGUAGACGGUAAUGUGACCAUUUAUAAAGCUCGACUUGUGGCAAAGGGUUUUUCACAAGUUCAAGGAGUUGACUACGAUGAGUCAUUCACACCGGUAGCGAUGCUUAAGUCCGUCCAAAUCGUGUUAGCAAUAGCUACAUUUUUUGAUUAUGAAAUCUGGCAGAUGUAUGUCAAAACGGUGUUCCUUAACGAUUUUCUUAAGGAAGAGUUGUAUAUGAUGCAACCCGAAGAUUUUGUCGAUCCAAAGAAUGCUAACAAAGUGUGCAAGCUCUAGCGAUCCAUUUAUGGACUGGUGCAAGCAUCUCAGAGUUGGAAUAAGCGCUUUGAUGAAGUGAUCAAAGCAUUUGGGUUUAUACAACUUGUUGGAGAAUCUUGUAUUUACAAGAAAGUGAGUGGGAGCUCUGCGGCGUUUCUAAUAUUAUAUGUGGAUGACAUAUUGCUGAUUGGAAACAAUGUGGAGUUUUUAGAGAGCGUAAAAGAUUACUUGAACAAAUGUUUUUCUAUGAAGGACCUAGGAGAAGCUGCUUACAUAUUAGGUAUUAAGAUCUAUAGCGAUAGAUCGAGACGCCUAAUAGGACUUUCACAAAGCACAUACCUUGAUAAAGUUUGAAGAAGUUCAAAAUGGAGCAGUCCAAGAAGGGGUUUGCUACCUCUUGAGCUUGCGUUGGUUUUCCCUUGAAGAGGAAAGGGUGAUGCAGCAAAGUAGCAGUAAGUAUUUCCCUCAGUUUUGAGAACCAAGGUGUCAAUCUAGUAGGAGAAUCAAGCCAAGUGUCUAGAGUACCUGCGCAAACACAAACGAGCUUGCACCCAACGCUAUAAAGGGGUUGUCAAUCCCUUCAAGAUUGAUUGCAAAGUGAGAUCUGAAGGCGGAAAGUGCAACGAAGUAAAAGUGUAAGGCUGAAAAUAUGAUGUGAAGUAGACCCGGGGGCCAUAGUGUUCAAUCGAGGCUUCUCUCAAAAUAGCAAAUAUUACGGUGGGUGAACAAAUUACUGUCGAGCAAUUGAUAGAACCGCGCAAAGUCAUGACGAUAUCUAAGGCAAUGAUCAUACAUAUAGGCAUCACGUACGGGACAAGUAGACUGAUACUUUCUGCAUCUACUACUAUUACUCCACGCAUCGACCGCUAUCUAGCAUGCAUCUAGUGUAUUGAGUUCAUGACGAACAGAGUAACGCCUUAAGCAAGAUGACAUGAUGUAGAGGGAUAAACUCAAACCAAUGAUUUAAACCCCAUCUUUUUACCCUUGAUGGCAACAACAUGAUGCGUGCCUCGCUGCCCCUUCUGUCACUGGUGAGGUCACCGCACGGUAUGAACCCAAAACCAAGCACUUCUCCCAUUGCAAGAAUCAUAGAUCAAGUUGGCCAAACAAAAACCACAACUCAAAGAGAAUUUCAAGGAUAUGAAAUCAUGCAUAUAAGAGAUCAGAAGAAACUCAAAUACGAUUCAUAGAUAAUCUGAUCAUAAAUCCACAAUUCAUUGGAUCUCGACAAACACACUGCAAAGAAGAUUACAUCGGAUAGAUCUCCAUGAAGAUCAUGGAGAACUUUNNNNNNNNNNGGAGAGAGAAUAAGCCAUCUAUCUACUAGCUAUGGACUCGAAGGUCUAUGGUGAACUACUCACGCAUCAUCGAAGAGGCAAUGGUGUUGAUGAAGAAGCCCUUUGUAUCCGAAUCCCCCUCUGACACGGCACCAGAACGUGCCCCAGAUGGGAUCUUGCAGAGACAGAAGCUUGCGGCGGCGGAAAAGUAUUUUUGUGGAUCUCUCCCGUAGUUUUGGAUUUUUCGGGAAUUUAUAGGCGGAAGAGGUAGGGAAGACGAGUCACAGGGGCCCACAAGCCUGCUAGGCGCGCCCCCAGGCCGUGCCUAGGGGGCUUGUGGCUCCCCUGGUGGCCUCUGCCUUGGUUCUCACGUCCCCUGCGUAUCUUCUGUUUUGGAAAAAAUCUUUUCGGAAGUUUUAUUCCGUUUGGGCUCCGUUUAAUAUUCUCCUCUGAAAGGGGUCAAAAACACGUAAAAAACAGGAACUGGCACUUGGCACUGAGUUAAUAAGUUAGUCCCAAAAAAGAUAUAAAAGGCAUACGAAACAUCCAAAGUUUGACAAGAUAAUAGCAUGGAACCAUCAAAAAUUAUAGAUACGUUGGAGACGUAUCAUUGUUCUUGCCAGUAUUACAAGGUAUAAAGUUGAGUAAGACUCAGUGUCCAAUAACUGCGGAAGAUAGAGAAAAUAUGAGUACCGUCCCCUAUGCUUCAACCAUAGGGUCUAUCAUGUAUGCAAUGAUGUGUACUAGACCGGACGUCAGCCUGGCCAUAAGUAUGACAGGCAUGUUUCAAAGUAAUCCAGGAGUGGAUCACUGGACGGCGGUCAAGAAUAUUUUGAAGUACCUGAAAAGGACUAAGGAAAUGUUUCUUGUUUAUGGAGGUGACGAAGAGCUCGUCGUAAAGGGUUACGUCAAUGAAAGCUUUGACACUGAUCCGGAUGACUCUAAGUCUCAAAUUGGAUACGUAUUUAUUCUUAAUGGGGGUGCGGUAAGCUGGUGCAAUUCCAAGCAAAGCGUCGUAGAAGAUUCUACAUGUGAAGCGGAGUACAUGGCUGCCUCGGAGGCAGCUAAGGAGGGUGUUUGGAUGAAGCAGUUCAUGACAGAUCUUGGAGUUGUGCCAAGCGCACUAAAUCCAAUAACUCUGUUCUGUUACAAUACUAGUGCCAUUGCUUUAGCAAAGGAGCCAAGGUUUCACAAGAAGACCAGACACAUCAAACGACGCUUCAACCUCAUCCGCGACUACGUCGAAGAGAGGACGUAAAUAUUAGCAAAGUGCACACAGAUCUAAAUGUAGUAGAUCCACUGACUAAACCUCUUCCAUAAGCGAAGCAUGAUCAACACAAGAACUGUAUGGGUGUUAGAUUCAUUCCAAUGUAAAUCGCAUAGCAAUGUGAGACUAGAUUAUUGACUCUAGUGCAAGUGGGAGACUGUUGGAAAUAUGCCCUAGAGGCAAUGAUAAAAUAGUUAUUAUUAUAUUUCCUGUUUAAAGAUAAUCGUUUAUUAUCCAUGCUAUAAUUGUAUUGAAUGAAAGCAUAAAUACAUGUGUGGAUAUAUAAACAAAACAAUGUCCCUAGCAAGCCUCUAGUUGGCUACCCAGUUGAUCAAGGAUGGUUAAGGUUUUCUGACCAUAUGCAAGUGUUGUCUCUUGAUAACUAGAUCACAUCAUUAGGAGAAUCAUGUGAUGGACUAGACCCAAACUAUGAACGUAGCAUGUGAUCGUGUCAUUUUGUUGCUAUUGUUUUGUGCGUGUCAAGUAUUCAUUCCUAUGACCAUGAGAUCAUGUAACUCACUAACACCGGAGGAAUACCUUGUGUGUAUCAAACGUCACAACGUUACUGGGUGAUUAUAAAGGUACUCUACAGGUAUCUCCGAAGGUGUCCAUUGAGUUAGCAUGGAUCAAGACUGGGAUUUGUCUCUCUGUGUGACGGAGAGGUAUCUCGGGGCCCACUCGGUAAUACAACAUCACAUACAAGAUUUGCAAGCAAUGUGACUCAAGUGUAAGUCACGGGAUCUCGUAUUACGGAACGAGUAAAGAGACUUGCCGGUAACGAGAUUGAAAUAGGUAUAGGGAUACCGACGAUCAAAUCUCGGGCAAGUAACAUACCGAAGGACAAAGGGAAUGUUAUACGGGANNNNNNNNNNCCUUGCAAGCAAUGUGACUCAAGUAUAAGUCACGGGAUCUUGUAUUACAGAAUGAGUAAAGAGACUUGCCGGUAACGAGAUUGAAAUAGGUAUAGGGAUACNNNNNNNNNNCUAUAUGAAUCCUUCGCACAGAGGUGCAACCGAUAAUAUCUUCGUAGAAUAUGUAGGAUCCAAUAUGGACAUCCAAGUCCCGCUAUUGGAUGUUGACCGAGGAGUGUCUCGGGUCAUGUCUACAUAGUUCUCGAACCCGCAGGGUCUACACACUUAAGGUUCGAUGACGUUUUAGUAUAGUUGAGUUAUAUGUGNNNNNNNNNNUUAUAUGAAUCCUUCGCACAGAGGUUUAACCGAUAAGAUAUUCAUAGAAUAUGUAGGAUCCAAUAUGGACAUCCAGGUCCUGCUAUUGGAUAUUGACCGAGGAGUGUCUCGGGUCAUGUCUACAUAGUUCUCGAACCCACAGGGUUUACACACUUAAGGUUCGAUGACGUUUUAGUAUAGUUGAGUUAUAUGUGUUGGUGACCUAAGGUUUUUCGGAGUUCCGGAUGAGAUCACGGACGUCACGAGGGUUUCCGAAAUGGCCCGGAAACGAAGAUUGAUAUAUAGGAUGGUUUCAUUUGGUCACCGGAAAGUUUUCGGACAUUACCGGCAGUGUACCGGGAGUGACGAAUGGGUUCCGGGUAUUCACCGGAAGGGGCCCACCCACCCGGGAGUGAGCCCAGUAACCCUAGCACUACUGGAAAACAGUUUUUUGCCAUCUGCUGCUUCUUUGCCGUCUGUUGGCUGAUGGCAAAGACCCUCUUUGCCAUCAGCUACGAGAAACCAAACGGCAAAGAGCAAGCUGAUGCUAAAGAUACUAUUUGCCAUCAGCCAGCUCUUUGCCGUCUGCCAGCUCACGGCAAAGAGAAUUCAGGCAGACGACAAAGAGCAUGGGCGGCCCACCCCGCAGCCCCCCUCUCCCCCCUAACGGCCUCUCUCUUUGCCGUCCGCUUUUCUUCUCUGUGCCGUCGGGAGGCGGACGACAAAGAGGGUGCCCCCCUAACGGCCGUUAGCCCCACCCCACGCGCCUCUCUCUCACCCCUAACGGCCACCCCAACCCCUCUCUCUCACCCCCGACGNNNNNNNNNNGAAGGUUGUUCGGAGUCCCGGAUGAGAUCACGUAUGUCACGAGGGUUUCCGGAAUGGUCUGGAAAUGAAGAUUGAUAUAUAGGAUGGUUUUAUUUGGUCACCGGAAAGUUUUCGAACAUUACCGGCAGUGUACCGGAGUGACGAAUGGGUUCCGGGUAUUCACUGGGAGGGGCCCACCCACCCGGGAGUGAGCCCAGUAACCCUAGGGUGGCGCACCAGCCCUUUGUGCACUGGUGAGGCCAGCCCAAGAGGGCUAUGGCGCCACAAGUGUAAAAAACCAAAGGAAAAGAAAAAAAACAAGGAAAGAGGGAGGUGGGAAGCAAGGACUGGACUCCUUCCCCCAAACCGAAUUGGGGUGGGAGUCCACCUCCUCCUCUCGGCCGGCGCCCUAGGGGCUCCCUUGAGCCCUAAGGCUAGCCCCUCCCCUCCUCCUAUAUAUAUUGGUGGUUUUAGGGUUUUUGAUACACAACUUUUUCCACGUGCAACUCAAACCUAUACCACGUAGUUCUUCCUCUAGAUCGGAUUUCUGCGGAGCUCGGAUGGAGCCCUGCAGGAGUAGAUCAUAACCAUCACCGGCUCGUUGUCACUCUGCCGCAGAACUCAUCUACUUCUCUGUAUCUCUUGCUGGAUCAAGAAGGCCGAGAUCGUCAUCGAGCUGUACGUGUGCUGAACGCGGAGGUCCCGUCUGUUCGGCCCUAAAUCGAAACGGGUCGUGGGACGACGGUGAUUCAAAUCACGAAGCUGUACCACUACAUCAACCACGUUUCUUAAACGCUUCCCUCUUAGCGAUCUACAAGGGUAUGUGGUUCCAAUCUCCCUCUCGUAGAUGAACAUCACCAUGAUAGGUCUUCGUGUGCGUAGGAGAAUUUUUGUUUCCCAUGCAACGUUCCCCAACAAUUUUGUGGGUAGGUACAAUUACCAACGUAGGUAUGGUAUUGUUAAUUUGCAGUGCUCUUCCUAUUCUUCUCUAUUUACCUGGGGUAUGAACUCACUUGUUGUUCUUGCUGUUUUUACACGAAGGUGAUAAAUGUGGGCUUGCUGAAUGGGUUGAUCAGCAGUGCUCCCCAACAAUGCAUAAUGCAUUGUUGAAGCUGUGGGCAAUGGUUGAAGUUAGCAAGAGUGCUAGGGUGAUUGAUAAUCUUGAAAGUGAUUUAACUAUUCACCAUCUGACAGUAGAGAAGAACACUCUGGAUGCCAACUAUGACAAGUUAGUUAAAGAUGGGAAUGAACUUAUGGAUUUCCAUGAGGAAAGGGUGCUGGAUUUCAGUUAUCUGUAGUCUAACCUAACUUAUGAGUAGGAAUGCAGAAGUGAACUGGUGGCUGAUAUGAAGGGAGAGAUGGCAAAGAAAGAUGCAGAUCAGCAGAAGCUUAAUGACAAGUAUCUACUCUUGGUUAACCUCACAAGAGCUCAAGCAAUUGUCAUAUAGAAUGUGAAGUUGAAGCAUAUGAAAGAGUGGGAAUUGCUGAGUGAAUCUAGGAUGAAAUUUGCGUCUAGGAAUGCAGAGCUCACAAAGUCUAAGGAGAAGCUCACCCAAGAGACGCUAGAGUUAAAGCUUCACGUUGAUGGUCUAAUUAAGGGAAAGGAAAAGCAUGUUGAAGAGAAGGGCCAGCUAAAGCUUCAAAUUGCUGAUCUCAUGGAGGGAGAUGAGAAGCUCAAGCAGAAGAUCAAGGGGAUUUAGGCCAUCCUAGAGAAAUGACAAGAUGAAUUUGAGAUUAGUGGACAUUGCUAACCUUUUGGGUAGGAUGGUUGUGUAGUGACCUAGUAACUUUGAAUUAUGAUUGUGUAUUGUAUGGUUGUAGUAAUUGUGAACUCUCGUUUUGUAUGUAUCUUGUAGUGAUGCUAGCUAUUCAUCCUUUUUUGACCCAAGGAUGAAGUAUGCAUUUGAACUCCACUAUGUAUUGUUGAACUCCACUAAAUAAUGUGUGAUAUGAUUUCCAGACUAAAAACCAUGAGAUAUCAUGCUUGGAAGAUGGAUCAUGUAUAGUAGAUGGUUAUCUUAUAGUGCCUCAGUAUUAUGUUGAUCAUGGGAUUAGUUGUUUAUAGUAGAUGGUUAUGUUAUACGGCUAGGUUUUGCUAGUUCCAUCAAUUCACAUAACAAAUGAUCAAAUAGACUUAGCAGUGGCAUCAAACCAAAAUAAAACACAAACCAUCAAGCUAUCCAUAACUGCCAACACAAACCAUCAAGUUGUCCAUCAAUACAUACAUACACAAACCAUGAAGUAGACUUAGAAGUGGCAUCAAACCAAAAUAAAACAAAUUGUAGCAUUAGCGAAAGUUUACAUGGCACAUGAGGAAAUUUAGUGGUUUCCACUAGCUGAGAAAUAUGCCAUCCAGCUAGUGUGUGUACCACCACUAGGUGGAGGAGCGCUAGAAAUUGAGGCAGCAUACUGCCUUGGGGCAGAGAAUGGCCUUGAAGUACCUACAACACCUCUCCCAGCAGCACGUGUUGCAGAUCUUGAACAUUGAACCAUAGUAUCACCUGUUGCACAAGAUGCUCGUCGAGUUCCUCUUCCACCAGCAGCCCUUUUUCCACCACCUCUACCAUCACCACUUCUAGUUCCUCUUCCACAUCUUGCAGCGGGAGGAGCUCUUGGUGUUGGAUUUGCAGCACCACUUCGAGCACCACAUCCAUAUCUUGCUCUAGCAGGAGGAGCUCUGGCUAUUGAAUUUGCAGCACCACUACGAGCAGGAGGAGCUCUCGAUGUUGGAGGAGCUCUUUCUUGUAAAUUCCUUGCAGGCUUGGAAAACAAUUAUAGUAAUUUAUUCCAAGUAAGAAAUAAAUAAGGAAAUAGUAAUUUACCAAAAAUUUAAACUAUGAGUUCAAAGGGAAUUGCCAAAUGUUUGUUAUUUCUCAAGGCCAACUCAGGUUUCAAGAGUUUCACGUGGCUUGUAUAUCUAUGCCCUUGUAAUCCACAAUUAGUACAAGUUAUAGUCCCCAUUAUUGAAGUGUCCUUUGGCUUUGGAACUUCAAAUUUUCCCUUGAUCCUCUUCUCUUCCUUCUUCCUUUUUUAACGUCUGGACCAAGGGUCUUUGUACAAUCAUGCUCACUAGGGACCGGGUAUAUCAUUGGUCCAUAUGCAACUAAGUACAAUGGUUUCUUAUUUAUUUUUACUAACAUAGUCCUCUGGAAACCUUUUUCCCUUGUUAAUUGUUGAGAUGACAUGGUUGCAUGGGAUGCCACACAGGUCCUACUUUAUGCAACCAAAAGUGUGAUUUUCCAAAUUCACAACAUGCACUUGCUGCCCACUAGUAACUUGCCAUAGGUUAACGCCUACUUGAAUAGGUUUGCAGUACUUGGCCCUUUCCUUUUCAAUAUCUAACUUUUCUGAAUAAUGUGGUGUGAUCACCCAUCUAGUUGCCUUUGCACUCUCUCUAUUCCUAUGCCACCUAACCAUCAUCUUAUCAUUUAUGCCAUCACACAUUAUCCUUAUAGGUUUUUUCCUGACAUCUAGGAUGUACUUGCUAAAAACGCGAGACAAAUUAUUAACUACCAAGUGACUCUUGAAGUUUGUGUCAAAUGCAUGUCUAGCCCAUGUUUUCCUGGGUAUUGCACUCAACCACUACCAAGCUUCCUUGCUCUCAGCUUUGAUAUCAUCCAUUGCAUUAUUAAUUUUGAGUUCAUUAUAGGCCUAACUUGCAUUAUCCAUGCACUUCUUAAGAUCUUCCCUCCAAAAUCCAACAUUUUGGAAGUUUGCGUAUAUGUGUCUUAGGUAGAAUCUUUAGUGUCACUUAGGAAAUACUGCAUUCACUGCAUUUAGUUGCCCCUCGUGCACACAAUUAACAAGCUAAGCUAUUAUCUAUGUGAUAACAACUACGUUUGGAAAAAAGAUAUAUGCAACACAAAAUGGAAGAUUCAUUCACAUACCUUAUGUUUGUCAGACAUUAUAGUAUAUGGACCAAACUAUCCAACUUCUCCUCCUAGACAUAUUUUUUGUUCGUGUACAUACCAGCAUCAAUUAGGUGUGUCCUCUUGUCCAACAAUGCCAAAUCCAAGUGGGUAGAUGUUGUUAUUUCCAUCUCAACCAGUUGCAGCAAGGAUUUGUGCACUAGUUGUUAGUUUAAUAGAACAUCCAUCAACACGUGAAGAGGACAUUCAAAACAGAUAAGUAUCAAAUGCAUUUAUAUGUGCAAUCAAUUGAAAGAGCAACAAGACAUAAAACAUAAAGUAAAGGAACUAACCAAUGAAUGGUCUACAACCUUUGAGAAAGCCCUACCAUUGAUGCGGUAAAACAUGGCAUGUAAUCUUGGUCCUGGAUGUCGUCGCAAUCGGGGCUCCGCAAACCCAGAAAGGUUCGAACUCUGGGGUGCGCUCGUUCUCCUACCCUGUUCUACCUCUCAACCUCACAGCGACUCUCCGAUGGACCGAGCUAAGGAACAUGAACAAGAACACACACGCAGUUUUUCAAGGUUCAGGUCACCUCGUGGUGUAAAACCCUACUCCUGCUUGUCUGGAUUGCUUUAGGUGGAAGAUGAGUACAAAGGGGGGGGGGUUCUUUCCCUAGUGGAGUUCGUGGAUCCCUUGCUACGGAGGUCGGGCCUCCCUUUUAUACAGACCUUGGUCCUCUCCCCCCCCAAAAAACACACACUUGGCCGGAAGGGUUGCCACAACUUCCAUUUUAAAAGGGGACAUGACUGCAUCCUACUCUCACAAAGCUGGUCUUCGCCUACUAAAGCUUUUGCCAUGACGCGCUGGUCGGCUCGGGGGUGACCUCUGUCCUCCCGAGCCCCCCAGCCUUGGACCCCUUGCACCAAGUAGGAAACCUUUGGGGGUUGCUUUGGGAACCCGCAUGCUGGCUUUGCUCCCUUAACACCAAAGGGGAAUACUUAUCUGUCCGUGCCUGCUAGCAUUGACCCUAGUGCCAUCUUGCUUGGUUCACGUCACCCAUGUGAGGGUGCAGGGUCACACGAUCCUGCCUGGCUGCCCUUGUUAAGUCCGCCCCGUGAGGGCGACGUUAGGAGGCGUAUUCUCGACGCGGACCUCAGGGGGAAUGGCCUCGAGGGGAACUCUGCAGGUUCCUGGCAACCUUUGAUGAUCUGCACCUCGUGAGGAGGGGGCCUCACGAUGGUCAGAUUCCUGGGCCUUGGCACUCCCGGGCCCUCAAUGCGGGCCGUGCCCUGGGCUGCAGACACGUGAGCGUGGGUACCCCCAAUCCCAGGACACCGACAGUCGCCCCCAUUACCGCGACGUGCACGGCCCGACCAAUCAGAUGGCGAAAUGGUGCGGGCUCUCACUGCGUGAAGGACGAUUCAAACGCGUGGCGCGUGACGGGGCACGGGGCGCCCCGCCUUCCCGAAGUGCUUUGGCAUCUCCUCCGUCUCACAUAAAGUGGGCACAUGGGGUGGAGCCAUCAUUACUCACCUUCACGCCACACCCACCUCUCUCUAUCUUCUUCUUCUGUGAAUGACUAUGCCAGAUCCAAUCUCCGACAAGGUCACCUCCUUGUCCCUCUUGCGGCUUCGGCCGACAGAUGACGCUCGCCGGCAAGAAAGGAAAAGCUGCGGGCUCUGCCACAAGAUUCGCCACCGUCGGGCCUGGUCUCAUGCCCUCCCGCGUCUCUGAGGAGGAGGACUUGGGCCCGGUGCUCUCGCUGGUGGCCAGCAAUGCGAACAAGGGGCGAGGGACCGACAUGUUGCCGGGUUCGGCAGCGCCGAGCAGCCUGGUGAAGACCGCCUACCCCUUCUUCCUCCAUAACAUCUACGUGGGUCUGGUCCUGUCGUUCUUUGAUUUGUUCUACGCCAUUCUUUCCCAUUAUCAGAUCCAGGCCCUGCACCUUCAGCCCAACUCCGUCCCCCUCCUGGCUAUCUUUGCCUUUUACUGUGAGGCUUUCAUGGGCAUCAGGCCCUCGGUGGUGCUAUUCCGUCAUUUCUUCAACUUAUGGUUCAUCACCCCGGGCCAGCGCUCCGCGUGUGUCUCCUUCGUUGAUGUCGUGGGCGUGGGCUCCCACCUGAAGACCGGGAAGAAGGCGGAAGGCUACUAACACCAUUGGGUCUUCAUGAACGCGCCCAAGAAGAGUCCGCUCUUGGCGACCCCCACGGGUCCGCCCGAGGAAACCUCCGGGUGGAGCCAAAGGAAGCUCACCGACCCGAGGGCGGGACCUGUCUUGGAGUGAAUCACCGCUCUUGUGGAGGCCUACCUGACGGGGGCGAUGAUAAUCAAGGAGUUCCUGGGGCCUCGCAUCGCAUGGCUCCAGGUCACUCGUGCUCGCUGUGGUAGUUCACCAGCGAGAGGGACCCAAUGCGCCUACACGUCGGUGGCCUAAUGCGCGACGAGCCAGAUGGAUCCAUGGGGCUCUGCUUGGCUUCGAUCUCGAGGACCUUCCGCUCGCCACACCGCCACUGUAUGCGUGCGACAACAUGGAGGAACUGGUCACAGAGAUGCCCAUAUUUGACGAGAGGGGGCUCGUUGGGUUGCACAAGGGUUCCUCCAUCGCGGUGUUGUCCUCGGGUGAGGACGACAACGACCAAGACUCAGAGGCGCCGGAAGGGAAGGAGGAUGCCGGUCGGAUACCACCGCCCAAUCUCCAUCCGUCCUUGUGCAACCUUGGGGCUGACGUUGCCUUGUAUGAGCGGCACCGGGCGAUUCCCGUGGGCCCAUGGCCUCGGGAGAAGGAGCAGGGUCAAGCCCCAUGGCAGCCGAUGUGCCGACGGUGGGAGCUUCUGACGAUGGUGUGGUGCUCGCCAUGGCAACUGAUGUACCUCUCCGGGGACACCUGAGGACCCAGAGAGGAGGGAGGUCAGGCGAACUCAUCGGGGACCGCAUCAAGCGCCCCUCUGGUGGUGGCGGGGCAAUGUGUGAAGGCGGCGAAGGCGCGCAACCCGCCGUCGAGAAGAAGAGGAAGUGGAGCGCAGGGGACGAGUAAGAACCUUAGUCAUCCUCAUGCUCUUCACCCGUGAUUGGUUUAUUUAGGGGAACCCUUCUUCAGCGCAGACGCCCAAGUGACAAAGGCGGCGCUUGUCACGAGGGUGCCCUCAUCCGUUGGUUCGAGCCUUGGCAGGUGCGGGGGCGGCUUGCGCCGGCCGGGUGUCGUGCUCGGGCGUAUGGGCGCCACUGCAGCUCCAAGUGUCUCCUUAGUGCGGAGAGAGAGCCCGGGGGCCACGAUCACGAUGUCCUAGCCCCGGCGCCACCAGCCAAGGCCACGGCGGUCCAUCCCCUGGCGCCAUCUACCGAGGCCGUAGCGGCUCAGCUCGCGUGGAAGGAAGGAGUGUCUCAGCCUCCAUCGGUCGUCCUGACGCCCGGAGCCAGCACCAACACAGGACACGAUGUGGGACGUCCUUAGUCUGCGGUCACCAUCGGGGCCCCGAGGUUGGUGCGACGGCCUCUACAAGUGCGUCGUGGAUUCCAGGUUCGUGGGAGAACCGAGAGCCCCUCUGCAUCAAGCGAAGGGCGUCAGGGUCGCUCUGGUUACAGCAUGGGAAAGCACCAGGACGGCGGCCCCUCGGGAGGUCCUUGCCUUGGCGGGCUAGGACGUGUUUCUCAUGCGUGGGGCCCUGACCGACGCGCGAGACACGCUCACGUGGCUCGGGGCAGGCAUUCAGAAUGUGCUUGACCUGCUCGAGGUGGAUUUCUGGGACGCCGAGGCGCGCUUGGCCGCGGAGCAGACGAGGUUAACCGUGGGGUGGAGACAACUUGACGCCUCGGCCAAGGAGGCCCAAGGCAAGGUCGAGUCCAUACAUAAGGAGGGCCAAAGGAGGCCACCGAGGCAAAGGGAAGUCGCGCAAGCGCUAUUGUCGAGAAGGAGGCAUGAUACGUCUCCAACGUAUAUAUAAUUUUUGAUGGUUUCAUGCUAUUAUCUUGUCAAACUUUGGAUGUUUUGUAUGCCUUUUAUAUUUUUUUUGAGACUAACCUAUUAACUCAGUGCCAAGUGCCAAUUCCUGUUUUUUCCAUGUUUUUGACCCCUUUCAGAGGAGGUUUUACACGGAGUCCAAAUGGAACGAAACUGCCAAAAAGAUUUUUUCCGAAACAGAAAAAGAUCGCGAAGCAUGAGAAUCAGGGCAGGGGGCCACCAGGGACCCCACAAGCCACCUAGCCGCGGCCAGGGGGGCCCGCGCCUCCCAGGCUUGUGGGCUCCCUGGGCCUCCUCUGCCCUAGGCCUUUCGCCUAAAAAUUCCCUAAUAUCCCAGAAAAAAUCAGGAGAUCAUCGAAAGUACUUUUCUGCCGCCGCAAGCUUCUGUCUCUGCAAGACCCCAUCUAGGGCGCGUUCUGGUGCCCUGCCGAAGGGGGGGAUUCGGAUACGGAGGGCUUCUUCAUCAACACCAUGACCUCUAAGAUGAUGUGUGAGUAGUUCACCAUAGACCUACGGGUCCAUAGCUAGUAUCUAGAUGGCUUCUUCUCUCUCUCUUGGAUCUUCAAUACAAAGUUCUCCAUGAUCUUCAUGGAGNNNNNNNNNNNNNNNNNNNNNNNNNNNNNNNNNNNNNNNNNNNNNNNNNNNNNNNNNNNNNNGAUUUAUGACCAGAUUAUCUAUGAAUCUUAUUUGAGUUUCUUCUGAUCUCUCUUAUGCAUGAUUUCAUAUCCUUGUAAUUCUCUUCGACUUGUGGGUUUUGUUUGGCCAACUAGAUCUAUGACUCUUGCAAUGGGAGAAGUGCUUGGUUUUGGGUUCAUACCGUGCGGUGANNNNNNNNNNCUAGAUCUAUGAUUCUUGCAAUGGGAGAAGUGCUUGGUUUUGGGUUCAUACNNNNNNNNNNUCACGCAUCGUGUUGUUGCCAUCAAGGGUAAAAAGAUGGGGUUUUCAUCAAUGGUUUGAGAUUAUCCCUCUACAUCAUGUCAUCUUGCUUAAAGCGUUACUUUGUUCAUCAUGAACUCAAGACACUAGAUGCAUGCUGGAUAGUGGUCGAUUUGUGGAGUAAUAGUAGUAGAUGCAGAAAGUAUCAGUCUACUUUUCUCGGACGUGAUGCCUAUAUGUAUGAUCAUUGCCUUAGAUAUCGUCAUGACUUUGCGCGAUUCUAUCAAUUGCUCGACAGUAAUUUGUUCACCCACCAUGAUAUUUGCUAUUUUUAAAGAAGCCUCUAUUGAGCACUACGGCCCCCGGGUCUACUCCACACCAUAUUUUCAGCCUUACACUUUUUUUUCGUUUCACUUUCCGCCUACAAAUCUAACUUUGCAAUCAAUCUUGAAGGGAUUGACAACCCCUUUAUAGCACUGGGUGCAAGCUCUUUUCUGUUUGUGCAGGUACUCUGAACUUGACGAGAUUCUCCUACUAGAUUGAUACCUUGGUUCUCAAACUAAGGGAAAUACUUACUGCUCCUAUGCUGCAUCACCCUUUCCUCUUCAAGGGAAAAACCAACGCAAGCAAGUCUCUGUCAACGUGUCAAAUUCUGGCGCUGUUGUUUGAGAAGUAGCAGAAGGAUUUCUGGCGCCGUUGCCGGGGAGGAUCCAGUCAAGAACUCAUCCAAGUAAGUGUCGCAAACUCAUCUCUCCAUUUACUUUUUUGCCUCUCGUUUUCCUCGCCCCCACUUCUGAAAAACAAAAAUUUUCAUUUUUUUGCAUUUUCGUUUGCCUUUUUCGUUUGCCCUUUCUUUCGCUUGCUUUCUGUUUUCUUGUGUUACCAUGUGCCUUCAAUAUGCUUGCAUCUUCGCUUGCUGAAAAUCUAUUGAUAUGGAUCCUCAUCCACUUGCUAAUCUCUUUAAGAGAUCCAAUUANNNNNNNNNNNNNNNNNNNNNNNNNNNNNNNNNNNNNNNNNNNNNNNNNNNNNNNNNNNNNNNNNNNNNNNNNNNNNNNNNNNNNNNNNNNNNNNNNNNNAGUUUUAGUAUUCUUGCCCAUGAGGCAUGGUUCGCACGUGUCAAGUGAAUCAAAGUCAAGUGACUCCAAAUGUCCAUCGGUAUGGAGUUUCUUCAUGCGCUUUACACCAAUAUGACCUAAGCGGCAGUGCCAUCAAAACAUGGCGCUAUCAUUGUUAACUCUAACUCUUUUGGUCUCAAUGUUAUGUAUAUGUGUAUUAUCACUAUCAAGAUUCAAUAUGAACAAUCCUCUCACAUUGGGUGCAUGACCAUAAAAUAUAUUAAUCAUAGAAAUAGAACAAACAUUAUUCUCUGACUUAAACGAGUAACCGUCUCGCAAUAAACAAGAUCCAUAUAUAAUGUUCAUGCUUAACGCAUGCACUAAAUAACAUUUAUUCAAGUUCAUAACUAAUCCUGAUGGUAACUGAAGUGAAACUGUGCCGACGGCAAUUGCAUCAACCUUGGAACCAUUUCCCACGCGCAUCGCCACUUCAUCCUUCGCCAGCCUUCGCUUAUUCCGCAGUUCCUGUUUCGAGUUGCAAAUAUGAGCACCAGAACCGGUAUCGAAUACCCAGGCACUACUACGAGAGCUGGUUAAGUACACAUCAAUAACAUGUAUAUCGAAUAUACCUGAUUUUUCUUUGGCCACCUUCUUAUCAGCCAGAUACUUGGGGCAGUUGCACUUCUAGUGACCCAUACCCUUGCAAUAAUAACACUCCAUUUUAGGCUUAGGUCCAUCUUUGGGUUUCUUCGUCGGAUUGGCAACAGGCUUGCCGCUCUUCUUUGAAUUACCCUUCUUUCCUUUGCCGUUUCUCUUGAAACUAGUGGUCUUAUUCACCAUCAACACUUGAUGCUCUUUACGGAGUUCUGACUCUGCGACUUUGAGCAUCGCGAAUAACUCGCCGGGUGACUUGUUCAUCCCAUGCAUGUUAUAGUUUAACACAAAGCCCUUAUAGCUUGGCGGCAGUGAUUGAAGAAUUCUGUCAGUGAUUCCCUCUUGUGGGAGUUCAAUCCCCAGCUCAGCUAGAUGGUUUGAGUACCCAGACAUUUUGAGCACAUGUUCACUAACAGACGAAUUCUCCUCCAUCUUGCAAGCAUAGAAUUUAUCGGAGGUCUCAUACCUCUCGAUCCGGGCGUUCUUCUGAAAGAUAAACUUCAACUCCUGGAACAUCUCAUAUGCUCCAUGACGCUCAAAGCAACGUUGAAGUCCCGGCUCUAAGCCAUACAAGACUGCACAUUGAACUACUGAGUAGUCCUCCUUACAUGUUAACCAAGCGUUCUUAACAUCUUGGUCAGCCGUAGCGGGUGGUUCAUCUCCUAGCGCAGCAUUAAGGACAUAAUCCUUCUUGCCAGCUUGCAGGAGCAACUUAAGUUUACGAGCCCAGUCUACAAAGUUGCUUCCAUUAUCUUUCAACUUAGCUUUCUCUAGGAACGUACUAAAAUUCAGGGUGACUGUCGCGUGAGCCAUUGAUCUACAACACAAAUAUAUUCAAAGUGGACUUAGACUAUGUUCAAGAUAAUAAGAGUUUAACUAAUCAAAUUACUUUUUAAACUCCCACUCAAAAAGUACAUCUCUCUAGUCAUUUGAGUGGUUCAUGAUCGAGUUCCACUAGCUCAAGUCCGAUCAUCACGUGAGUUGAGGGUAGUUUCAGUGGUAAGCAUCCCUAUGCUAAUCAUAUAAACUAUAUGACUCAUGAUCGACCUUUCGGUCUCAUGUGUUCCGAGGCCAUGUCUGCACAUGCUAGGCUCGCCAAGCUUAACCCGAGUGUUCCGCGUGUGCAACUGUUUUGCACCCGUUGUAUGUGAACGUUGAGUCUAUCACACCCGAUCAUCACGUGGUGUCUCGAAAUGACGAACUGUAGCAACGGUGCACAGUCGAGGAGAACACAAUUUUGUCUUGAAAUUUUAGUGACAGGUCACCUCAUAAUGCUACUGUCGUUCUAAGCAAAAUAAGGUGCAUAAAAGGAUUAACAUCACAUGCAAUUCAUAAGUGACAUGAUAUGGCCAUCAUCACGUGCUUCUUGAUCUCCAUCACCAAAGCACCGACACGAUUUCUUGUCACCGUCGCCACACCAUGAUCUCCAUCAACGUGUCGCCAUCGGGCUUGUCGUGCUACUCAUGCUAUUACUACUAAAGCUACAUCCUAGCAAUAUAGUAAGCGCAUCUGCAAGCACAAACAUUAGUUUAAAGACAACCCUAUGGCUCCUGCUGGUUGCCGUACCAUCGACGUGCAAGUCGACAUUAACUAUUACAACAUGAUCAUCUCAUACAUCCAAUAUAUCACAUCACAUCGUUGGCCAUAUCACAUCACAAGCAUACCUUGCAAAAACAAGUUAGACGUCCUCUAAUUGUUGUUGCAUGUUUUACGUGAUGACCAUGGGUAUCUAGUAGGAUCGCAUCUUACUUACGCAAACACCACAACGGAGAUGUAUGAAUUUCUAUUUAACCUCAUCCAAGGACCUCCUCGGUCAAAUCCGAUUCAACUAAAGUUGGAGAAAUCGACACUCGCCAGUCAUCUUUAAGCAACGGGGUUGCUCGUAGCGAUGAAACCAGUCUCUCGUAAGCGUACGAGUAAUGUCGGUCCAAGCUGCUUCGAUCCAACAAUACCGCGGAAUCAAGAAAAGACUAAGGAGGGCAGCAAAUCGCACAUCACUGCCCACAAAAACUUUUGUGUUCUACUCGAGAUGACAUCUACGCAAGAGCCUAGCUCAUGAUGCCACUGUUUGGGGAACGUCGCGUGGGAAACAAAAAAAUUCCUACGCGCACGAAGACCUAUCAUGGUGAUGUCCAUCUCCGAGAGGGGAUUUGGAUUUACGUACCCUUGUAGAUCGCACAGCAGGAAGCAUUAAGAAACGCGAUUGAUGUAGUGGCGCCGGUGACAAGAAGAUCAUGCCGGUGCUUUGGUGAUGGAGAUCAAGAAGCAUAAGAUCAUGGCCAUAUCAUGUCACUUAUGAAUUGCAUGUGAUGUUAAUCCUUUUAUGCACCUUAUCUUGCUUCGAACGAUGGUAGCAUUAUAAGAUGAUCCCUCACUAAAUUUCAAGAUACAAUUGUGUUCUCCCCGACUGUGCACCAUUGUGACAGUUCGUCGUUUCGAGACACCACGUGAUGAUCUGGUGUGAUAGACUCAACGUUCACAUACAACGGGUGCAAAACAGUUGCANNNNNNNNNNGGCGCAACACUCGGGUUAAACUUGACGAGCCUAGCAUGUGCAGACAUGGCCUCAGAACACAUGAGACUGAAAUGUCGAGCAUGAAUCAUAUAGUUGAUAUGAUUAGCAUAGAGAUGUUUACCACUGAAACUAUACUCAACUCACGUGAUGAUCGGACUUGAGGUAGUCAAUUUGGAUCAUGCACCACUCAAAUGACUAGAGGGAUGUAUUUUUUGAGUGGGAGUUUAUUAGUAAUUUGAUUAGUUAAACUCUAAUUAUCUUGAACAUAGUCUAAGUCCACUUUGCAAUAUUUUAUGUUGUAGAUCAAUGGCUCACGGAGUAGCAACCCUGAAUUUUAAUAUGUUCCUAGAGAAACCUAAGUUUAAAGAUGAUGGAAGCAACAUUGUAGACUGCGCACGUAAUCUUAGGCUCAUCCUAAAAGCUGGGAAAAAUAAUUAUGUCCUUGAUGCUGCACCAGGAGAUGAACCACCCGCUUCGUCUGACCAAGAUGUUUUGAACGCUUGGCAAUCGCGUAAGGAGGACUACUUAGUAGUUUAAUGUGCAGUUUUGUAUGGCUUAGAACCAGGACGUCAACGUCGCUUUGAGCGUCAUGGAGCAUAUGAGAUGUUCCAGGAGUUGAAGUUUAUCUUUCAGAAGAACACCCGGAUCGAGAGGUAUGAGACCUCCGGUAAAUUCUAUGCUUGCAAGAUGGAGGAGAAUUUGUCUCUCAGUGAACAUGUGCUCAAAAUGUCUGGGUACUCAAACGGUCUAGCUAUAAGAGAUUUGUGUUGAACUAUAACAUGCAAGGGAUGAACAAGUCACCCGGCGAGUUAUUCGCGAUGCUGAAAGUCGCAGAGUCAGAACUCCGAAAAGAGCAUCAAGUGUUAUGGUCAAUAAGACCACUCGUUUCAAGAAAAACGGCAAAGGCUAGAAGGGUAACUCCAGGAAGAGCGGCAAGCCUAUUGCCAAUCCGACGAAGAAACCCAAGGUUGGACCUAAGCUGAAACAAAGUGUUAUUAUUGCAAGGGAAUGGGUCACUCGAAGCGCAAAUCCCCUAAGUAUUUGGCUGAUAAGAAGGCGGCCAAAGAAAAAUCAGGCAUCUGUGAUAUACAUAUUGAUGUGUACUUAACCAACUCUCAUAGUAGUGCGUGGGUAUUUGAUACCGGUUCUGUUGCUUAUAUUUGCAACUCAAAACAGGAACUGCGGAAUAAACGAAGGCUGGCGAAGGAUGAAGUGAUGAUGCGCAUGGGAAAUGGUUCCAAGGUCGAUGCAAUCGCUGUCGGCACAGUCUCACUUCAGAUACCGUCAGGAUUAGUUAUGAACUUAAAUAAUUGUUAUUUAGUGCCUGCGUUAAGCAUGAACAUUAUAUCUGGAUCUUUUUUAUUGCGAGGCGGUUACUCGUUUAAGUCACAGAAUAAUGGUUGUUCUAUUUCUAUGAGUAAUAUCUUUUAUGGUCAUGCACCCAAUGUGAGAGGAUUGUUCAUAAUGAAUCUUGAUUGCGAUGAUACACAUAUACAUAACAUUGAGACCAAAAGAUGUAGAGUUAACAAUGAUAGCGCCACCUUUUUGUGGCACUGCCGCUUAGGUCAUAUUGGAGUAAAGUGCAUGAAGAAACUCCAUUCCGAUGGACUUUUGGAGUCACUUGAUUUUGAAUCACUUGACACGUGCGAACCAUGACUCAUGGGCAAGAUGACUAAGACUCCGUUCUCCGGAACAAUGGAGCGUGCAAGUGACUUGUUGGAAAUCAUACAUACCGAUGUGUGUGGUCCGAUUAGUGUGGAGGCAUGCGGCGGAUAUCGUUAUUUUCUCACCUUCACUGACAAUUUGAGUAGAUAUGGUUAUGUCUACUUGAUGAAGCACAAGUCUGAAACAUUUGAAAAGUUCAAGCAAUUUUAGAGUGAAGUCGAAAAUCAUCGUGACAAGAAGAUCAAGUUCCUACUGUCUAAUCAUGGGGGUGAAUAUCUGAGUUUCGAGUUUGGUGCUCACUUCAGACAAUGUGGAAUAGUUUCAUAGUUGACAUCGCCUGGAACACCACAGCAUAAUGGUGUGUCCGAACGUCGUAAUCGUACUUUGUUAGAUAUGGUGCGAUUUAUGAUGUCUCUUACCGAUUUGCCGUUAUCAUUUUGGGGUUAUGCNNNNNNNNNNCAGUUGACACCGCCUGGAACACCACAGCGUAAUGGUGUGUCCGAACGUCGUAAUCGUACUUUGUUAGAUAUGGUGCAAUUUAUGAUGUCUCUUACCGAUUUGCCGUUAUCAUUUUGGGGUUAUGCAUUAGAGACAGUUGCAUUCACUUUAAAUAGGGCAUCAUCAAAAUCCAUUGAGGCGACACCAUACGAACUGUGGUAUGGCAACAGACCAAAGUUGUCAUUUCUUAAAGUUUGGGGAUGUGAUGCUUAUGUCAAAAACCUUCAGCCUAAAAAGCUGGAACCAAAGUAGAAAAGUGCGUCUUCAUAGGUUACCCAAAAGAGACAGUUGGGUAUACCUUCUAUCUCAAAUCCGAGGGCAAAGUGUUUGUUGCUAAGAAUGGAGCUUUUCUCGAGAAGGAGUUUCUCUUGAGAGAAUUGAGUGGGAGGAAGAUAGAACUUGAUGAGGUUGUCGAACCUCUCAUCCCUCUGGAUGGUGGCGCAGGGCAAGGGGAAACCCCUGACGUUGCGACGCUGGUUCAGGAGGAAGUUGAUGAUGAUCAUCAUGAAACUCUGGAUCAAGUUCCUAUCGGACCUCGCAGGUCAACGAGAUCGCGUACUGCUCCAGAGUGGUACGGUAAUCCCGUCUUAUCAAUUAUGUUGUUGGACAACAAUGAACCUGCGAAUUAUGAAGAAGCAAUGGUGGGCCCGGAUUCCAACAAAUGGUAGAGGCCAUGAAGUCCGAGAUAGGAUCUAUGUAUGAGAACAAAGUGUGGACUUUGGAAGUACUACCUGAAGGCCGCAAGGCUAUUCAGAACAAAUGGAUCUUUAAGAAGAAGACGGACGCUGACGGUAAUGUGACUGUUUAUAAAGCUCGACUUGUGGCAAAGGGUUUUUCACAAGUUCAAGGAAUUGACUACGAUGAGACGUUCUCACCCGUAGCGAUGCUUAAGUCCGUCAGAAUCAUGUUAGCAAUAGCUGAUUUUUCGAUUAUGAAAUUUGGCAGAUGGAUGUCAAAACGGUGUUCCUUAACGGUUUCCUUAAGGAAGAGUUGUAUAUGAUGCAACCCGAAGGUUUUGUCGAUCCUAAAAAUUCUAACAAAGUGUGCAACCUCUAGAGAUUCAUUUAUGGACUGGUGCAAGCAUCUUGGAGUUGGAAUGAACACUUUGAUGAGGUGAUCAAAGCAUUUGGGUUUAUACAGGUGGUUGGAGAAUCCUGUAUUUACAAGAAAGUGAGUGGGAGCUCUGUGGCAUUUCUAAUAUUAUAUGUGAAUGACAUAUUGCUGAUUGGAAACAACGUGGAGUUUUUGCAGAGCAUAAAAGGUUACUUGAAUAAAAGUUUCUCUAUGAAGGACCUAGGAGAAGCUGCUUACAUUCUAGGCAUUAAGAUAUAUAGGGAUAGAUUGAAACGCGUGAUAGGACUUUCACAAAGCACAUACCUUGAUAAAGUUUUGAAGAAGUUCAAAAUGGAUCAGUCCAAGAAAGGGUUCUUGAAAGUAUUACAAGGUAUAAAAUUGAGUAAGACUCAGUGCCCAGCAACUGAGGAAGAUAGAAAGGAAAUGAGUUCUGUCCCCUAUGCUUCACCCAUAGGUUCUAUCAUGUAUGCAAUGUUGUGCACUAGACCGAACGUUAGCUUAGCCAUAAGUAUGGCAGGAAGGUUUUAGAGUAAUCCAGGAGUGGAUCACUGGACGGCGGUCAAGAAUAUCCUGAAGUACCUGAAAAGGACUAAGGAGAUGUUUCUCGUAUAUGGAGGUGACGAAGAGCUCGCCGUAAAUGGUUACGUCGAUGCAAGCUUUGACACAGAUCUGGACGAGUCUAAGUCACAGACUGGAUACAUAUUUUUUCUUAAUGGGGGUGCGGUAAGCUCGUGCAGUUCCAAGAAAAGCAUCGUAGCUGAUUCCACAUGUGAAGCGGAGUACAUGGCUGCUUCGGAGGUAGCUAAGGAGGGUGUCUGGAUGAAGCAGUUCAUGAAGGAUCUUGGAGUUGUGUCGAGCGCACUGAAUCCAAUAACCCUGUUUUGUGACAACACGGCUACCAUUGCCUUAGCAAAGGAACCACGGUUUCACAAGAAGACCUGACACAUAAAACGACGCUUCAACCUCAUCCGCGACUAUGACGAGGAGGGGGGCGUGAAUAUAUGCAAAGUGCACAUGGAUCUGAAUGUGGCAGACACGCUGACUAAACCUCUUCCACGGGCAAAGCAUGAUCAACACCAGAACUGUAUGGGUGUUAGAUUUAUUACAAUGUAAUUCGCAUGGCGAUGUAAGGACUAGAUUAUUGACUCUAAUGCAAGUGGGAGACUAUUGGAAUUAUGCCCUAGAGGCAAUGAUAAAUAAGUUGUUAUUAUAAUUCCUGUAUCAAGAUAAUCGUUUAUUAUCCAUGCUAUAAUUGUAUUGAAUGAAGACUUAUAUACAUGUGUGGAUACAUAGACAAAACACUUUUCCUAGCAAGCCUCUAGUUUGCUAGCCAGUUGAUCAAGGAUAGUCUGGGUCUUCUGACUAUGUACAAGGUGUUGUUCUUGAUAACUGGAUCACAUCAUUGGGUGAAUCAUGUGAUGGACUAGACCCAAACUAAUAGACGUAGCAUGUUGAUCGUGUCAUUUUGUUGCUACUGUUUUCUGCGUGUCAAGUAUUUAUUCCUAUGACCAUGAGAUCAUAUAACUCACUGGCACUGGAGGAAUGCUUUGUGUGUAUCAAACAUCACAACGUAACUGGGUGACUAUAAAGAUGCUCUACAGGUAUCUCUGAAGGUGUCUGUUGAGUUAGUAUGGAUCAAGACUGGGAUUUGUUACUCCGUUUGACGGAGAGGUAUCUCGGGGCCCACUCGAUAAUACAACAUCACACACAAGCCUUGCAAGCAAUGUGACUUAGUGUAAGUCACGGGAUCUUUUAUUACGGAACGAGUAAAGAGACUUGCCGAUAAACGAGAUUGAAAUAGGUAUGCAGAUACUCACGAUCGAAUCUCGGGCAAGUAACAUACCGAAGGACAAAGGGAAUGACAUACGGGAUUAUAUGAAUCCUUGGCACUGAGGUUCAACCAAUAAGAUCUUCGGAGAAUAUGUAGGAUCCAAUAUGGGCAUCCAGGUCCUGCUAUUGGAUAUUGACCGAGGAGUCUCUCGGGUCAUGUCUACAUAGUUCUCGAACCCACAGGGUCUACACACUUAAGGUUCGGCGUUGCUUUAUGCGUAUUUGAGUUAUAUGGUUGGUUACCGAAUGUUGUUCGGAGUCCCGGAUGAGAUCACGGACGUCAUGAGGGUUUCCGCAAUGGUUUGUAGACGAAGAUUUAUAUAUAGGAUGACCUCAUUUGAUUACCGGAAAGUUUUCGGCAUUACCGGGAAUGUACCGGGAGUGGGGAAUGGGUUCCGGAUGUUCACCGGGGGGGCAGCCCACCCGGGGGAAGCCCAUAGGUCUUAGGCGUGCCGUAGCAGCCCCUGCGUAGGAGAUAAGAAAAAUCAAAGAGAAAAAAAGGGGAAGUGGGAAUGAAGAGAAGGACUCCACCUUCCAAUCCUAGUUGGACUAGGAUUGGAGGAGGAUUCCUCCUCCCCCCUUUCGUCCGACCCCUUGGGGCUCCCUUGAGCCUCAAGGCAAGGUCCCUCCCCUCUCUCCUAUAUAUACUAAGGUAUUAGGGCUGAUUUGAGACAACUUUGCCACGGGAGCCCGACCACAUACCUCCACUGUUUUUCCUCUAGAUCGCGAUUCUGCGGAGCUUGGGCGGAGCCCUGCUGAGAUAAGAUCACCACCAACCUCCGGAGCGCCGUCACGCUGCCGGAGAACUCAUCUACCACUCCGUCUCUCUUGCUGGAUCAAGAAGGACGAGAUCAUCGUCAAGCUGUACGUGUGUUGAACGCGGAGGUGCCGUCCGUUGGCACUAGAUCGGAGCGGAUCGUGGGACGGUUCGUGGGACGGUUCGCGGGGCGGAUCGAGGGACGUGAGGACGUUCCACUACAUCAACCGCUUUUCUUAACGCUUCCUGUUGUGCGAUCUACAAGGGUACGUAGAUCCAAAUCCCCUCUCGUAGAUCGACAUCACCAUGAGAGGUCUUCGUGCGCGUAGGAAUUUUUUUGUUUCCCAUGCGACGUUCCCCGACAAUAGGUUUGAGUUGCACGUGGCAAAAGUUGUGUCUCAAAAGCCCUAAAACCACCAAUAUAUAUAGGAGGAGGGUACGGGCUAGCCUUGGGGCUCAAGGGAGCCCCAUGGGCGCCGGCCGAGAGGAGGAGAUGGACUACCACCCCAAUUCGGUUUGGGGGAAGGAGUCCACUCCUUCCUUCCCACCUCCCUCUUUCCAUGUUUUUUUCUUUUCCUUUGGUUUUUUCCACUUGUGGCGCAAUAUCCCUAUUGGGCUAGCCUCACCAGCCCACUAAGGACUAGUGCGCCACCCUACACUACAGGGAUUAGCUUCUUUGUCGUCUACCAUCACAGACGGCAAAGAAUAAAUCCCGGACGGCAAAGUGAAUACCACAGACGGCAAAGAAUCUCACGGCCGGCAAAAUUUCUGUAGCGACCCGACUCAAAACGAGUCAAGCCUCUGUGUAUUUGUGUCAUCCCUGGAUCAGUAUGCUGGCACACACAGUACAUCAAUGUAUAUAUCAAAGUGCAAUCACAUGUAAAAUAGCGUAAAACUGAUAUAUACCUUAAAUAUCUCAGUGGAAACGGUCAAGGGAGUGGAGUCCCAAUAAACACCAACGGCAAGUUGAGUGUAGACCGUAACCCUGAAUCGUACUCUUACUCGUCGAAGAAAAAUAUCUGCAACAUAAUACGUUGCAGCCGUGUAGGUCAGCAUAUUGAAUAUGCCGGCAAGUCACAUAAGAGAGGGGUGAAAAGUAAUCAUCUAUACUAUAUGCAUAUAUGGCAGGUGGGGCUAUAAGUUUUCAGCGAAAAGCAAGUUUUCUCCUACAUCAAGAGAGGUCUAAAAGCAAAAUAUUACUACAUUGUUGGUUGUUAACGAUAUGGUUCCACCAACCAAUCCCCGUACCCGAGUUGUCAAUAAUUACCCUCAUCAAAUAUAUAUAAUGGUGUUGAGAAAUCCAGAUAACUUCAGUUCCUUUGGCUCAAGUUGUCCAUGACCGUGGACACGGCUAAUCGAUUAGGUUUGAGUACUCUGCAGAGUUUUGCACACGUUCCCCACAAGAUUUGAUCGCCUCCGAGUAUGUCCUCGCACUUCAGGGUGUUUGAAGACCGGAUGAUCAAAACAUGGUCUUUCAACGGGUCCCUCUGAAUCCCUGUUGGUGCCCAUCCAUUCCUACAGUUCUUCGACAUCUGCUAGCACCGCCUGUCCAGAGUCGCCGCGUUGUCCAACCAAGCCAGAGCCCAUAAUGACUUGUGGCUGUGCAGGUAAGCCUUGGGUCUUGAAAAUAUCCGUCCGUCUCUUUGAGCCUGGGUGAAGCUUUCCGCAGGAUGUCAUGGCCGUCCCCAGCAUCCCGGGUCAUCCACUGGUUUCUCCAAGGAGCCGAUCAACUGUCCUUCACCCAGAGUUGCAUUGCAUCAUGAGGUCUUGAAAAGUCUUGACUUAACCGGUCUUGGUUAUUAAAUUAUUCUCGCAUCACUCGUGAUAAACUCUCAACCAGAAUCCCGUCUACUCAAGUAUAGCAAUAUGAAAUUUGUCGUCCCGGGCCAAGUAACGGGGUUGUUGGGUGCCUACCACAUGAUACUACAAUAUGUAACCAUAAUUUCCAAGUACCUACUCAGCAUGCAAUUCGGUAUAGGAUGGUAGAACUACGAUGCAUAAAACAUAGGUGAUACAUGAUCAAAUGACUUGCCUGGUAUUACUUGAUGAAGAUAGUCGCUCUCAAAAUCCUGAUAAUUCUACUCGCCACACUCCGAGCAAUCUAUCGUAAACAAAUAGCAUUCAAUAAACAUUCAUGCCAAAAAGGAAGAACCAAAAGAACAUAAGAACAAAACAUGUCUUUGUGCAAAAUAACAACAUACUAAGGUUUAAUAAAAAAAAUAGGUUCUAAGUGUGUUGUAAAGGAAAGGUGAAAGGGGUCAACUCAAAAGAGUCAAAGGAUGAUCAACUAUCGCUAUAUAAGCACGACUUGCAUACACUAUGGGAGAUGAUAAAAAAUAUUGGGAGAACAACAUGAAUGUUGUUUGACAAAUAAUAUAAGGCAUAAGAAUUUAUUUGUAGAAAGAAUUUCUUGAAAUUGAGCACUACAACGCAAGUUAUAGCGAAUUGAAGUAUGAAUAGAAUUUGAAUUCCAUCAAGGUCAAAAGUAUUUGAAUUGGAGCAUGGUUGUUAUGAAUAGGAAAGUACAUAACACUAGUCUUUAGGGGCAAAAGAAAUCAAUGGAAAAGGUGCUACUGUUUGCAAGGUAAGAUCAAAUGAAUGUUCGAAUACAAAUUUGAAUCGCUCAAAUUUGUAAGGUUCAAAGGUCGAAACUAAUGAUGUACUGGAUAUAGGAGAUCAAUAUGAGCGUGUAGAAAAAAGAAUUACUAGAUUUGAAAUAGCGGAUCAAAAGAUACAAAUACUUGAAUAUAACAUUGAAUCGGCUUAGAACAAUGUGAACACUUUUGGGCACUAAUAGAUAAAUCUGAUUUGAUCAAAAUUAUAAGUUGAAAAGUUAAAACUAAUGAUACAAAUGGGAAGAUUACUUUGAUACGAAUCCGACGCAGUUGGAUUCAUCUAAAACGGAGCUACGGAUAAAAAGAUAUGAUCAAAAGAAGUUUGAAUAUGAAUAUGAACAAAUUUCGAAAUUUGAAAAUUUCAAAAAGUUGAUAUGAUAGGUUCACGGGAUAGGUGGGAUCAAGACGAAACUCUAGGCGUUGGUUUCAUCUAAUUCGGAUAAACGAGUAAAAAGUUAUGGCUAUUUGAAAAAUCAGGGCCAAGCUGUUUUACGGAAGAAAAAUGCUACGUCUAAAAGAAUUCUAGUACUAAUGUGUAAAUACGAAGACUAAUUAAUAUAUCUAAUUACUCUACCGUAUACUAGUGUAGGAAUACUAGUCUAGAAAUAAUAAACUACGGGAGUAAAAAAAUAUAGGAAGAAAAAUACCUUUAGAAUGCAGAGUAAGAAUUAAUUCCAAUGAGGAGACGACUUCGAGAAAUCCCGCCGAAGANNNNNNNNNNNNNNNNNNNNNNNNNNNNNNNNNNNNNNNNNNNNNNNNNNNNNNNNNNNNNNNNNNNNNNNNNNNNNNNNNNNNNNNNNNNNNNNNNNNNNNNNNNNNNNNNNNNNNNNNNNNNNNNNNNNNNNNNNNNNNNNNNNNNNNNNNNNNNNNNNNNNNNNNNNNNNNNNNNNNNUAUAGGUGAAAGGAGGUGUAAAGGUCCAUAGAUAGGCAAUGUGGGACUAAACAUAUACGUAACGUGGAGAUAAAAGAAACAAAGCCUCUCAUGGGCCAGGUAAAGGUUCGGCCGGCCGCAAGAGGCGAUUCAUGCGAGCCGUGUCUUUUUUUUUAACAAUCUUUUUUUCUUUUUUUUUUAAAAAAAAGUGAAGAAAAUGUAAAAAACGGAAAUAGAGAGAACAUUUUAUAUAGGCAUAUUAUAUAUCAAAAUUUUCAGAAUAAAAUUUUCUAAAACAUGAACAUAUUUUCAAAACCAAAAAAAUAAUUUUUUUAAAAAAAAUAUUUUUUUGCAAUAACUUUAAAAUGAAAAGGAAUUUGAAUUUCAAAUAAAUUGCAAAUACUUAAAAUUUGAAUCAAGACAUAGUCUCCGAUUUUUGGAGGGUCAUUUUCCUCCUCUCGUUUUAUUUUUUUUAAUCAAAGGGUUUUGAAAAUAUUCAAACUCAAAAUUGAAAAGGGAUUCAAAAUAGAAAAUUUUGGGAAAGUCAUUUUAUUCCCUCUCAUUUUUUUGAGAAUUUUAAAAUUCCACUCAAGUUUCAAUCACUCAAACAAACAAACAAUCAAUCUAAUAAUUAUAUUAACAUUCCAAAAUUUAUAAUUUUGGGAUGUUACAAUUUCUCCGUGAGCCUACGACGGCAUCGUACCUUCUUUGCCGUCUGUCUCCUCAAAGCGGACGGCAAAGAGCUUUGUCGUCAGCUUUUCAUAGGAGCAGUCGGCAAAGUGCUCGGGACGGCAGCCGACAGGCAUUGCCUCUGUUAGGGGUUAACGGAGCCUUUGCCGUCUGCCUCCCCCACCCCACCCCCACCUCUUCUUUGCCGUCUGCCUCCCCCCUCUUCUUUGCCGUGUGCCUCCUCCUCCUNNNNNNNNNNGUCGGCCGGCCGCAAGAGGCGAUUCAUGCGAGCCGUUGAAAGGAUCGAUAUGGUUGGCUAGAGGGGGGUGAAUAGACAACGACCACUUUUUAAUUAAUCUUAACAAGUUAAGGUAAACACGAUACGGGUUCACAAAUAAUAUGACAAAGAGGUGACCCUUAUAGAAGCUACCAACAAGACCUAUUAAGACGAGUAAGAUAUAGUCACCAGUAAAAGCAAAUACAAAGUAAAGGUUAGAGAUAACCACAAGUGGAACCGAUGGAGACGAGGAUGUGUUACCGAAGUUCCUUCCCUUUGACAGGAAGUACGUCUCCGUUGGAGCGGUGUGGAGGCACAAUGCUCCCCAAAAAGCCACUAAGGCCACCGUAUUCUCCUCACGCCCUCGCACGAUGCAAGGUACCGUGAUUCCACUAUAGGUGCCCUUGAAGGCGGCGACCGAACCUUUACAAACAAGGUUGGGGCAACUCCACACAAAGCUUGGAGGCUCCCAACAAGACCACGAAGCUUCACCACAAUGGAAUAUGACUUCGAGGUGACCUCAACCGUCUAGGAUGCUCAAACACCCAAGAGUAACAAGAUCCGCAAGGGAUAGGUAGGGGAAUCAACUUUUCUCUUGGUGGAAGUGUGGAUCUAGGCCUUCUCAACCAAUCCCUAAAGAAUCAACAAGUUUGAUUGGCUAGGGAGAGAGAUCGGGCACUUUUAAGCUUGUGGAGCAACAAUGGAGCUUAGAGAGGUAAGAGAUAGGGUUCCUCAGCUAGAAGAACCCUUUAUAUAGUGGGGGCAAAAUUCAGACCGUUUUCCCACUCUCUGCCCGAGAUCCAGCGGUACUACCGCUGGGAAGGCGUGGUACUACCGCUGCCUGGCGGUACUACCGCUGGGUCUUCCAGCGGUACUACCGUUGGCACCAGCGGUACUACCGCUGGCCCCUUGGUAGUGCAUAAGCACUACUACCGCCGGGAAAGUCUUCGCAAAAGGGUCCGUCCACGAACUACCGCUAGGUAGGUGGAACAAGGCACCUGGAGCGGUACUACCGCUGACCAGGGGGCGGUACUACCGCUGGCUAGCGGUACUACCGCUGACAAUGGGCGGUACUACCGCCAGACAGCGGUACUACCGCUGGCUGCAGCGGUACUACCGCUCGGGACCAUUUUGCAGAGAGCUCAAGACGAAAAGGCGAGGGCCGCUCCAAAAGAUAAGGAAAGGGAGAAUGUAAAGUGUACGUGUGUAAAGAUAGAUUCCACCCAAACCUUUCCACUACGGAUCCCCUCUUAAUAGUACGGCUUUCCUAUGACUCAAAUAAAGAGAAUCGUAGAGAGCGCCGUGCUUCCGUUCCAGAAGAGAGGAGACGAGUCGUCUUGUGCCGUUGACGAGUGUUACCUGAAACCUUGACACACACGAUUAGUCAUGUACGGUACUGUCAUCAAUCACCAAGAUUACUUAGGCAUAAACUAUGCCUCAACAAUCUCCCCCUUUUUGGUGGAUUGAUGACAAUACCGGAUUUGCACAGAUAAUAAUAUGAGAAUAAAAAGAUAGAGAUAUAUGACAUAUGACUCACAGCAUAUGAUUGAAAUAAAUCUAAUCUCACAUAAGAAAGAUCAUGUCUCACACAAGAUAGCAAACGAAUCAAACCAAGUUCAAAGCAAACCAUACGAGAUAAAGCAAAGCAAUGCAAAGUUUGAAGUGAAAGCAAAUCCUAGACUCUCUCCCCCUUUGGCACAAGACACCAAAAAGGGGGCACACCUAAUGCCACAUGUAACUACUCCUCGUCUUCAGGAUCACCAGACUCGUCUGUCCCCUCCUGGUCGGUCUGCUCCUCCUCUGCUGCCUCAUCGCCAGACCACUGGUACCCGUGAGCCUGCAUCCAAGUGGCCUCCGGAGUGAUGUCGUCCUCGGAGCCGCUGGAGAUGUCCACAUCCAAGGUCCUGAGAACACGCUUAUGCCUCUGGCGGAUCUGCUUCUGAGCCACGUGUGUUUGAUACUGACCCUUGGCCUGCAUACAGAAAAGUGUCUUCAUCUUGUCCUGCAGUUUGAUAGCCCAAGAUGGCAUGGAAGACGAGCGGGGCUGAGAGGCAGGUCCUGUGCCAGCAGCGGUCUCUGCAGUGUCCAUGUGCUGAGAAGAUGAAGAUGGGUUGGCCCACUUGUCCUUGACGCGCAGCUUGAUUGGGUCAUGCACAAUGUAAUCAGACUGUGCGUAGAGCACCUCAUCCGGAAAUGCCUGUUGCCACUUAUGGCUGAUGUAUGCGAACAGAUAAGGCCCGUAGAUAGGAACCUUACGGUUGAUGAUGCAGUUCGAGAGCUCUGUGAACAUCACAUCUGCAAUAUCCAGUGGAGCAGACUCCUGAGACAUAGCUUCCUCACACAGUAACAGCAUCUCAGCCAAGUAGCCAUGGACCUCAUCGAAGUUACCACUCCGAGGGAAGAGGGUGUUGCGAAAGAUGCGAUGCAUGAUGUCCAGGUGCUUGGGAAGCACCCCCUUCCUCAGAUACAGUGACUGCAGUCUGUCCUUUGCGAGGGCCCUAUCAGUGGGGGCUGGAGCGUGAGGACGCAGCCCAAGAGGAGUGUGAGCACCCUGAAAGUCAAUGUGAAGGAACUGCAUGAACUCUGCCCAAGAAUCGGUCAUCUUCUUUGACCCAGUCAUCCAUAUCAUGGAGCGUUGUUCAUCAUGGGAGAAAUGGACUGUGACAUAAAACUGAGCAACUGCCGUGGGAUCAAAAUCUGUCUUGAAGGAGAUGAUGUUUUUGAUGCCCAGCUUGUCAAUCAAAGCGAGAGCAUCACCAAAGUACUCCGUGUUCCGCUGAAGAUGUGCCAGAUCAAUCCACUGGACAGAGACAAAGUUCUUCUUGAAGUUGGCAAUAACAUCCCGAUAGAUCCUGCAAUGGUCCUUUACCCAGACAUGGUCAACACCAUCAAUCUCUUCCCUCUCUUAGAGAUAGUGGUUCUUGGUGCGAAAUUGCAGAAAAUCCUUGGGGGACAUUGUACGGACAUUCACCCUCUUAUGAGCGACCUUCUUGAAGGACUUCUUCUUGGGAGGCAGGCCAGACGUGGCAGACCCCUCGGGCGCCUCUGGGUGGCAAAACUGUUUGGAUUGCGUUUCCCGUGGGGGGUUCGAACGGCGAGCAGAGCCACCUGUGACACAGACCACAAAGCAAAAAAGAGGCGACAAGAAGAGUCAAGGCAAUGAAUCUUGAAAACGCGAAACAAGUAAACACGCAUUGCUAAGCAAAACAAGCAGAAAAUACACUGUGAAUGCUCUGGCGGUAGUACCGCCACCCCUGGCGGUAGUACCGCUGGGGCCCAGCGGUAGUACCGCUAGCCCUGGCGUCAUAGCGGUAGUACCGCUACCCCUGGCGGUAGUACCGCUGGAGUCCUAGCGGUAGUACCGCUACCCGCUAGCGGUAGUACCGCUGGGGGUUUGACUUUCAGAUCUGACAAAUAAUACUUGUUUUCGAGGGCAUGGGCUGAAUAUGAACACUUAGACGUACAACCCAGCCCUACUGUCAUGAGGAACACAUAGCAUUAAGAGAUACAAACAUGCCUAGGCAAGAGAGAGCACGUUUUAGAUCUAAUCCGAAUCAAGACGAAACUCUAGGCGUUGGUUUCAUCUAAUUCGGAUAAACGANNNNNNNNNNNNNNNNNNNNNNNNNNNNNNNNNNNNNNNNNNNNNNNNNNNNNNNNNNNNNNNNNNNNNNNNNNNNNNNNNNNNNNNNNNNNNNNNNNNNCUACGUAAGAACUGCCUUAUGUGACCUUGGAGCCGGUGUUAGUGUUAUGCCGCUCUCUCUUUAUCGUAGACUUGAAUUGGAUAAGUUGACACCUACUGAAAUUUCUCUGCAAAUGGCCGACAAAUCAAUUGCUUUCCCUAUCGGCAUUUGCGAGGAUGUGCCUGUUGUGGUUGCUAACACCACUAUCUUAACAGACUUUGUUAUCUUGGAUAUUCCCGAGGACGAUGCCAUGGUUGUCAUCCUUGGAAGACCCUUUUUGAACACGGCAGGGACUGUUAUAGAUUGCAACAAAGGCAAUGUCGCUUUCCAUGUCAACGGUAAUGAGCACACAGUGCACUUUCCGAAGAAACGAUAUCAAGUACAUUCCAUCAAUGCUAUCAAAAAGACUUCAUUGAUUCUUAUUGGGAGCUUUGAAUGCCCUAUUCCUCGUGUCACGAUGAAGUAUGAUUUGCUUGUUGGGGAGAUACAUAUACCCAUUGAGGUGACUUAGUGGCUAUUUGAAAAUUCUCCGUUCUCUCUUGCGAUUCGAGAAGGUUUUGUCAUUAGGACUUGAUCAACCCCAUUGACUUCGAUGACCAUGAAAUGGAUGAAUCAAAGAGUCACAUACCUCUGUUUUGAGCUUUAAUUUUCUGUUGCUUAGAAGAAAAAUGAUAGAUUUAGUUUAGCUUUUCCUGUUUUCUGUUUUAGCGUCCUGAAGAAAAAUACCUCGAGAAUAAAAGUUCUCCGAUGGUCCUGAAAAUUUAGUAUGAUUUUUUCUGGAAUAUUUGAAAAUUACUGGGCCUGAUAGCUGGCCUGGGGGCCAGACCAGUGGGCCACAAGCCCUGCCACCGCCACCCCCCUGGUGGCNNNNNNNNNNNNNNNNNNNNNNNNNNNNNNNNNNNNNNNNNNNNNNNNNNNNNNNNNNNNNNNNNNNNNNNNNNNNNNNNNNNNNNNNNNNNNNNNNNNNUGGAGGGGCGAUGAUGUUGAUGUAGAAGCCCUCCAACUCCAAAGUCCCUUCCGGCAGGGCACCGGGAAGGGUCUCGAGAUGAGAUCUCGCGGAAACGAAGCUUGCGGCGGCGGAAAAGUAUUUUCAUGAAUCCCCUGAUUUUUUCUGUAUUUUAGGGAAUAUAUAGGCAAAGGAUCUAGGUCAGGGGGGCGCAAGGGAGGCCACAAACUUGCUUGCUCACGAAGACCUAAGGCAAUUUUGGGGAAGCCUAUCAUUGGAAUAUACAAGCCAAGUUAUAUAAUGAAAAUUUCCCACUAUCUAUAUUGGGGUGACAAAACGAGAGACUCUCAAUCAUGAAGAUCAUGGUGCUUAAUAUGCACAAGUGUGGAAAGGUGGUAGCAUUGUCCCUUCUCUCUUUUUCUCCCAUAUUUUUUUUGGUGGCUCUUUUUUUUUGGGUGGGCAUCUUUGGCCUCUUUUAUUUCCUCACAUGGGACAAUACUCCAUUAAUGAUGAUCAUCACACUUUCAACUCAAAACUUAGAGCAACGAUGACUCUAUAUGGAAUGCCUUCGGUAGUGUACCGUGAAAAUUAUCUAGCAUGGCAUAGACAUUAAUGGAAACAUCAUGCUAGCUAUCUUAUGAUCAUGCAAUGGUAAUGUAGAAGUGGUGGCACAUGUCAUGGUGGUAGUUGCAUGGAAAUAUAUCUUGGAAUUACUUUGAAAAAGCCAUAGUAGGUAGGUAUGGUGGCUGUUUUGAGGGAGGCUAAUGAUGGGUUUUGUGCAUCAGGGAAAGUUGCACGACACUAAGAAGAUAGUGAUGGUGGAAGGUGAAAGUGCAUCUAAACCAUGGACUCAACAUUAGUCAUGAAGAACUCAUAUACUUGUUGCAAAAGUUUUAUUAGUAAUCGAAAAAAGCAUUCAACGCAUACUCCUAGGGGAAGGGUUGGUAGGUAUACACCAUUGUGUGAUCCCGACCGCCACGCAAAGGAUGACAAUCAAUAGACUAAUCAUGCUCAGAUUUCAUCACAUAGCGGUUCACCAUACGUGCAUGCUACGGGAAUCACUAACUUCAACACAAGUAUUUCUAGAUUCACAACACCUUACUAACAUAACUCUUAAUAUUACCAAAUCCACGUCUCAAAACUAAUUGAGAGGAAUCAAAACUUCUCUUUCUACUCAAUGCACAUGAAGAUGGAGGUUUUUGUAUCCUCUUUGGGUAUCUAUCACCUUUGGGACUACUUUCAUAGCAUAACCCAACUACCAAAUCGCGCACCGCCGUGCUCUAAAAGAUCUAAGUGAAGCACAUAGAGCAAAAGUAUCUAGCUCAAAAGAUAUAAGUGAAGCACAAUGAGCAUUCUAGCAAAAUCACUAUGAGUGCAUGUCUCUCUCUAAAGGUGUGCAGCAACGAUGAUUUUGACACAACAAAAAUAAAAGACUCCUAAGAUACAAGACGCUCCAAGCAAAACACAUAUCAUGUGGUGAAUAAAAAUAUAGCUCCAAGUAAUGUUACCGAUGGAUUGAAGACGANNNNNNNNNNCCACAACACCUUACUAGCAUGACUUCGAUAUUACCAAAACCACAACUCAAAACUAAUUGAGAUGAAUCAAACUUCUCUAACUAUUCAAUGCACAUGAAGGUGGAAGUUUUCAUAUCCCUUUGGAUAACUACCCCUUUUGAGACUACUUUCAAAGCAUAGAUCAACUACCAAGCCACGCACCGAUGUUCUCUAAAAGAUAUAAGUGAAGCACAUAGAGAAAAAGUAUCUAGCUCAAAAGAUAUAAGUGAAGCACAUGUGAGCUGAAUUGUCUACCAAAAGAUAUAAGUGAAGCUCGACAAAAUCACGGUGAGUGCAUGUCGCUCGCUCAAGGUGUGCAGUAAGGAUGAUUGUGAUACAAAAAAAUAAAUGAAAGACUCCUACGAUACAAGACACUCCAAGCAAAAACACAUAACAUGUGGUGAAUAAAAAUAUUGCCCCAAGUAACGUUACCGAUGGAUUGAAGACGAGAGAGGGGAUGCCUUCCCGGGGCAUCCCCAAGCUUAGGCUUUUACGGCAUACUUGAAUCUCUUGGGGUGCCUUGGGAAUCCCCAAGCUUGAGCUCUUGCCACUCUUUAUCUCUUUGUCCAUAAGAACUUCACCCAAAACUUGAAAACUUCACAACACGAAACUUAAACAGAAACUCGUGAUAACAUUAGUAUGAGAAAGCAAACCACCACUUCCUUAGGUACCAUAGAAAACUUAAAUUUUACUUAUCCUGAUGUUGGGUUACUGUAUUUUCAAUCUUCCAUGGCUAAUAGCCCCCGAUACUAUCCAUAGUUUCAUCACAAUAAGCAACCAACACAACAAAAACAGAAUCUGUUAAUAGCAAACCAGUUUGUAGCAAUCUGUAUAUUUCGUAUACUUAUGGUACUUAAAAAAUUCUGAAAAAUUACGACAGUCUGAAGAAUUUGCGUUGCAAUCAGCAGCAAAAAUAAUCAACUCAAAAGCUCUUACAGAAAAAAUGGAAAUUAUUUUCAUGAGGAGAAAGUUUCUGUCUUUUCCAGCAUGACCAAACGAUCAUCCCCAAGACUAAUCAUAACGGUUUUGCUUGGCACAAACGCAAAAAGAAACACAAAAAACACAAUCAUAACAGAAUUAUGAAAGUGUGGAAAACACAAAACAGAAAGAAAAAGGAUAGAUUCGUUGGGUUGCCUCCCAACAAGCGCUUUUGUUUAACGCCCUUAGCUAGGAAAAAGGGGAUGGAAUCACGUAUAGUCGUCUUUGGUGCUCAAACCACAAGUAGUGUGAUAAUUUAUCAUCUUAAGAUCUUCAUCUUUAUUGGAUGACUCACCAGUAGCUUUAGGAACAAAAACAGACUUGACAGUCUUUUUGAGAGUGAGAUUUGGAGUAUUUUGCACAGCGGCAAAAGCGGAACCCAAGUUGGUUAUGACAUCUUCUAGUUUGCCAAUUCUAGAAGAAUCAUUAACUAUAAGUUCCUUCUCCCUUAGAUUUUUCAAAAAAAAUCCCACUUUGGAACCGUACUGAGUAAUUUGAUUGUGGAUCUUUCUAUCCAAACCCUCAAUAAGUUCAACUAUGGCAAUUUUGCUUCCAAUAGCGUCAAGCCUUUGCAUCACGUGUUCCAAGGUCAAGGUACUUCCAUUAACCAUGAGCGGGGGUGAGCCUACCAAAUUCCUGAUAGCUCCAUAGGAGUCAACAAUACGGCUCCCCAAAAAAUUCCUGCCUACAAUGGUAUCAAGGAUAUACCUAUUCCAAGGAUAUACCUAUUCCAAGAAAUCAGCAAAGACUCAAAUAUAUAUCAUAGAUAAUCUGAUCACAAAUCCACAAUUCAUCGGAUCUCGACAAACACACCGCCAAAGAGGAUUACAUCGGAUAGAUCUCCAUGAAGAUCAUGGAGAACUUUGUAUUGAAGAUCCAAGAGAGAGAAGAAGCCAUCUAGCUACUAAUUACGGACCCGUAGGUCUGAAGUGAACUACUCAUGAGUCAUUGGAGGGGCGAUGAUGUUGAUGUAGAAGCCCUCCAACUCCAAAGUCCCCUCCGGCAGGGCACCGGGAAGGGUCUCCAGAUGAGAUCUCGCGGAAACAGAAGCUUGCGGCGGCGGAAAAGUAUCUUCGUGAAUCCCCUGAUUUUUUUUCUGUAUUUUAGGGAAUAUAUAGGCGAAGGAUCUAGGUCAGGGGGACGCUAGGGAGGCCACAAGCCUGCUGGCCGCCGCCCCUGGUGGCGGAUAGGGGGCUUGUGGGCCCCCUGUAGCCCUCCUGGCUUGGCCCUCAAGCCCCCUGGUCUUCUUCCGUUCGGGAAAAAAUCAUUUCAGGGAUUUUAUUCCGUUUGGACUCCGAUCCAAAAUCCGAUUUGAAAAGAGCCAAAAACACAGAAAAAACAGGAACUGGCUCUUGGCACUGAAUUAAUAAGUUAGUGCCAAAAAAGAUAUAAAAGGUACAUAAAACAUCCAAAGAUGACAAGAUAACAACAUGAAACCAUCAAAAAUUAUAGAUACGUUUGAGACGUAUCAAGAAGGCAGCCUCAAACCCUCAAGGUUUGGCCGAAAUUGGAGGUGGAGGAGUCCUACUCCAAUCCUACUAGGAGUAGGAUUCCUCCUCUCCACUUGGAAAUCCUUUCCUCCUCUUCCACCUUUGGGUUUUUUCCUUCUCAAACCUGGUGGGCCUUCAUGGGGGCUUAGGCUAGCCCACUAGGGGCUGGCUGUCUCCUCCCACAACCCAUGAGGCCCCUCGGGGCGUGACACCCCUCCCGAUGGUCCCCAGUACCCUCCCGGCACUCCCGGUACACUACCGAUGAGACCAAAACUUUUACGGUGACCAAAACAGGACUUCCUUUAUAUUAAGCUUUACCUACGGACCAUUUCAGAGCUCCUCAUGACGUCCAGGAUCUAAUCUGGGACUCCGAACAACCUUCGAUCACCAACACCUAUAACUCAACUAUAUCGAAACGUCACUGAACCUUAAGUGUGCAGACCCUGCGUGUUGGGGAUAUUAUCUAUUGAUAACCCGCCCUAGUUGGGUCGGGUCACCUAAUCAAGCGAUUCAUCUAAGCAUGGUUCGGGCCUUGGCCUGGCAAGACCGAAGGUUGUAUGGCGGUUUACAACUUCCGGAAGGUUUCCAAGCUAUUGGAAGAUGGCGACUUAGAGAUCGUAAGAGUCAUGGUUUGUAGAAAGGAAAGUACCCUUGUGAACCCUAGGGACUCGACCUGUAUAUAAAGGCGAGUCCCAGGGAAGAAGAGGGCAUGUUAGAAAUCAUCGAGUACUAGGUCUGGUGAGUUACGCCCUCCUUGUAAUCGAAACUCCAUCAAUACAACUCAAAGCAAAACGUAGGCCUUUACCUCCUCACGAGGGGCCGAACCUGGGUAAAUCGCCGUCUCACUCCCGUUCAACCCCUUUGAGUCGCCACCAAAGUGCGAUGGCUCCAGUACUAACUCCUUUCACGAGGACAUCUGCCGUGAAAAAACCACGACACUGCGGUUCGAGAACUAUGCAGACAUGACGUGAGACACUCCCCGAUCAAGAACCCAUAGCGGAACCUGGCUGUCCAUAUUGGCUCCAACAUAUUCUAUGAAGAUCUCUAUCGGUUCAACCUCUAUGUCAAGGAUUCAGUUAAUCUCGUAUGAUGUUCCGUUUGUCCUGUGGUAUGUUACUUGCCCGAGAUUCAAUCGUCGGUAUGUCCAUACCGAGUUCAAUCACGUUAUCGGAAAGUCUCUUUACCCGUUCUAUAAUACAAGAUCUCGUGACUAACUCGUUAGUCACAUUACUUGCAAGGCUUGUUGUGAUGUUGUAUAACCGAGUGGGCCCCGAGAUAGCUCUCCGUCACAUGGAGUGACAAAUCCCAGUCUUGAUUCAUGCCAACAUUAAAGACACCUUUGGAGAUACCUGUAGAGCACCUUUAUAGUCACCCAGUUACGUUGCGACGUCUGAUACACACAAGGUAUUCCUCCAUUGUCCAGGAGUUGCAUGAUCUCAUGGUCAUAGGAAUAGAUACAUUGACAUGCAGCAAACAGUAGCAAUGAACUAACACGAUCAUAUGCUACGUUCAUAGUUUGGGUCUUGUCCAUCACAUCAUUCUCCUAAUGAUGUGAUCACGUUAUCAAGUGACAAAACUUGUCCAUGGCCAGGAAACCUUGACCAUCUUUGAUCAUUGAGCUAGUCAACUAGAGGCUCACUAGGGAUAGUGUGUUGUCUAUGUAUCCACACAUGUAUUUGAAUUUCUAAUCAAUACAAUUCUAGCAUGGAUAAUAAACAAUUGUUAUGAAAAAAGAAAUAUAACAAUAACCAGUUCAUUAUUGCCUCUAGGGCAUAUUUCCAACAGUCUCCCACUUGCACUAGAGUCAAUAAUCUAGUUCACAUCACUAUGUGAUUGUAAUGAAUCUGACACCCACACAGUUCUGGGGCUUGAUCAUGUCUUUCUUGUGAGAGAGGUUUUUAGUCAACGGGUCUGAACCUUUCAUAUCCGUGUGUGCUUUACAAAUCUCUAUGUGAUCCUAUAGAUGCUACUACCACGUGCCAUUUGGAACUAUUCCAAAUGACUGCUCCACUAUACGAAUCUGGUUUACUACUCAUAAUUAUUCGGAUUAGUGUCAAAGCUCGCAUCGACGUAACCCUUGACGACGAACUUUUUAAUCACCUCCAAAAUCAACAAAAAUUCCUUAGUCCACUAGUUACUAAGGAUAACUUUGACCGAUCUUCAGUGAUUCGAUCAUGAAUCACUCUUUGUACCCCUUGAUAGACUCAUGGCAAGGCACACAUUAGGUGCGGUACACAACAUGUCAUACUUUAGAGCCUACGACUAAGGCAUAGGGGACGACCUUUGUCCUUUCUCUUUCUUCUACCGUGGUCGUGCUUUGAGUCUUAAUCAAAUUCACACCUUACAACAAAGCCAAGAACUCCUUUUCUUAUCUAUUUUUAACUCCUUCAAAAACUUGUCAAGGCAUGCAUUUCAUUGAAAGUUUUAUUAAGAUUUUUGAUCUAUCUCUAUAGAUCCUGAUGCUCAAUGUUCAAGUAGCUCUAUCCAGGUUUUCCUUUGAAAAACUCCUUUCAAACAACCCUUUAUGCUUUCCAAAAAUUCUACAUUACUGCCAAUCAACAAUAUGUCAACCACAUAUACUUAUCAAAAAAUUUAUAGUGCUCCCACUCACUUCUUUGGAAAUACAAGUUUAUCAUAAACCUUGUAUAAACCCAAAAGCUUUCAUCAUCUCAUCAAAGCGUAUAUUCAAACUCCGAGAUGCUUGCACCAGUCCAUAGAAGGAUCGCUGGAGCUUGCAUACUUGUUAGCAUCCUUAGGAUCGACAAAACCUUCUAGUUCUAUCACAUACAACCUUUCCUCAAGGAAACAGUCGAGAAAACAAUGUUUUGACAUCCUAUCUGCAAUAUUUCAUAAAUAAUGUAUCAACUGCUAACAUUAUUCCAACAGACUUUUAGCAUCGCUACGAGUGAUAUAGUCUCAUCAUAGCCAAUUCUGAACUUGUCGGAAACAUCUUUGCGACUAGUCGAGCUUUCUUAAUGGUGACUUUACACCAUCAUCGUUUGUCUUCCUUUUGAAGAUACACAUGUACUUAAUAGUCUUACGACCAUCAAGUAGUUCUUCCAAAAUCCACACUCUGUAUUCAUAAGUGGAUCCUCUCUCAGAUUUCAUGGCCUCUGAUACGUCUCCAUCGUAUCUACUUUUCCAAACUCUUUUGCCAUUGUUUUGGACUCUAAUUUGCAUGAUUUGAAUGGAACUAACCAGGAUUGACGUUGUUUUCAGCAGAAUUGCCUUGGUGUUAUUUUUGUGCAGAAAUCAAAGUUCUCAGAACGUCCUGAAAAUUUACGGAGAUUAUUUUUGGAAAAUAUGAAAAAUACCUACGCAAAGAUCCACCUGAGGGGGGUGGGCCAGUGGGCCACAAGCCCUGCCACCGCCACCCCCCUGGUGGCGCAUGGCAAGCUUGUGGGGCCCACGUGGCUCUUCCGCCCCCAAUCUCAGCUCUAUAAGUUCACUUUCGUCCCAGAAAAAAUCAAGAGAGAAGAAUUCGUCGCGUUUGUGAUAUGGAGGCGCCACCACAACCUGUUCUUCAUCUGGAGGGCAGAUCUGGAGUCCGUAUUGGGCUUCGGAGAGGGGAAAUCGUCGCCAUCGUCAUCAUCAACCUUCUUCCCUCUCCAAUUGCAUGAAGCUCUUCGUCGUUCGUGAGUAAUCUAUUCGUAGGCUCGCUGGGCGGUGAUGAGUAGGAUGAGAUCUAUCAUGUAAUCGAGUUAGUUUUGAUGGGGAUUGAUCCCUAGUAUCCACUAUGUUCUGAGAUUGAUGUUGCUACUACUUUGCCAUGCUUAAUGCUUGUCACUAGGGCUCGAGUGCCAUGAUUUCAGAUCUGAAAUUAUUAUGUUGUCACCAAUAUAUGUGUGUUUUAGAUCCGAUCUUGCAAGUUGUAGUUACCUACUAUGUGUUAUGAUCUGGCAACCACGGAGUGACAAUGACGGGAACCACUCCCGGUGAUGACCAUAGUUUGAGGAGUUCAUGUGUUCACCAAGUGCUAAUGCGUUGGUCUGGUUCUUUAUUAAAAGGAGAACCUUAAUAUCCCGUAGUUUCCUUUUGGAUCCCGCUGCCACGGGAGGGAUGGACAAUAGAUGUCAUGCAAGUUAUUUUCCCUAAGCACGUAUAACGACACACAGAAUGCAUGCCUACAUCACAUUGACGAACGGGAGCUAGCCACAUAUCUCUCCGUGUUAUAACUGUUGCAUGAUGAAUAUCAUCCAAACAAAUCACCGACCCAUUGCCUACGAGUUUGUCCUACUGCUGCUGUUACUUGUCUUGCUCUGCUGCACUUACUUGUCUUGCUCUGCUGCUGUUACUUGUCUUGCUUUGCUGCUACUGCUGCUACUACUGUCUCUUGCUACUGUUGCUACUUGCUACUGCUGUCACUACUAUUGUUCCUUGCCACUGCUAUUAUUCGUUACACUGCUGCUACCUGCUACAAUCCUGAUUCGCUGGUCGUUGACGGGAACAGACAACUUCCCUCAACUCGGCAACUUGCCGCCAUUGAUACAAUCGUUAGGAAUAGUCUGCCGUCAACAUAUCGUUUCUAACACCGUUGUUAUCAUACUACUUAGUUGUUACUACUUUUCUUGCAGAUACUAAUCUUUCAGGUGUGGUUGAAUCUGACACAUUCAGCUGCUAAUACUUGAGAGUAUCCUCUCACCUCGUAUAGGCGUACCAACAAAUUUGGGUUGAAUACUCUACCCUCGAAAACUGAUGCGAUCCCACGCGCUGGUGGGCUGUGAACAACAUUCUUCUAGUUUCGAUUGCCAGAGAGUGCUAGCAGCAUUCUUCUGAUGCCGUUGCAGGGGAAGUUCUGUUGUCACGGAAUCAGCAUUUUUUUGGCGCCGUUGCCGGGGAUGUAUUGCUAUAUUCUCUCAGUUACUUGGGAUUUAUAUCUGCAGAUCACUAUGAAGAAUCCGAAGGAUCCAAAAACCAAAGUCUUGCCCUCAACUAUGAGGGGAGGUAAGGAACUGCCAUCUAGCUCUGCACUUGAUUCACCUUCAGUUAUGAGUAAGUUUGCGACAUCACCUCCUGCUAGAAAUCUUGAUAUGUCGCCCGUGCUUGAUGAUGCUUAUGAUGCUACAGCUAGAGAUGCUAUGCUUGAUACUAUGCCUGAUGAUACUAUGCUUGAUACUAUGCCUGAUACUACUAGAGAUGCCAUGCCUGAUGAUGCUAGAGAUGCUAUGCUUGAUACUAUGCCUGAUGCUAUGCCUGAUACUACUAGAGAUGCUUUGCCAGAUGAUGCUAGAGAUGCUAUUUUGCCUGAUGAUGCUAUGCUUGAUAUUGCUAGAUAUGCUACUUUGCCUGGUAAGCCACUAGGGGUAUUCCUUGAUGCUCAUAUUGCUAGAGUUACUGCCAAUGCUCGUGAUGGUUCUGAAACUGCCGAUACUAUUGAGAUAGAAACUGCUUUUGCUCCUGCUAAAUCUAGCUCUCCUAGAUAUGAAUUGCCUGAUAUACCUGAGGGUUACAUUAUGGAGGGAGAGAUAGCUGAGGAUUUUCUUGCGUGUAAGGAUGCCUAUGACGCUGAGAAAUUACUUCUCAAGUGGAAGGAAAAAUCUCUGAAAGCUGGGAUGAAAUACGACCCGAAGUUUGCCACUUCACCUAUCUUUAUCACCGAUAAGGAUUAUGAAUUCUUUGUCGAUACUGAGAUAAUAUCUCUAGUUGAAUAUGAUCCUUUUCAUGGUUAUGAGUCUGAGACGGUCGUAUCCCAUCUUGCCAAACAACACGAUAUAGACAACCUUUUCACUAAUGAGGAGAAGAUCCGCCACUACUAUAUCCUUAAGUUGUUUCCUUUCUCUCUAAAGGAUGACGCUAAAGCUUGGUUCACCUCGCUUGAUCCAGGAUGUGUGAGUAGUCCUGAGGAUAUGGUCUAUUACUUCUAUGAGAAAUAUUUCCCUGCCCAUAAGAAGCAAGCUGCCCUGCAGGAAAUAUACAACUUUGCUCAACUCCAAGAAGAGAGUCUCCCACAAGCUUGGGGGAGUCUCGUCGAGCUACAAAAUGCUUUGCCUAAUCACCCUCUUAAGAAGAACGAGAUACUUGAUAUCCUCUAUAACGGACUUACUGAUGCCUCUAGAGACCACCUAGAUAGUUGUGACGGUUGUAUUUUUAGGGAACGAACUGUAGAACAAGUUGAGACCCUACUGAAUAACAUCUUGAUCAACGAUAAAUGCUUGGACUAUUCCCGAACCACCUCCUAAGCCAACUUCGAAGAAAAGAGGUAUUCUAUUCCUCAGUCCUGAAGAUAUGCAAGAAGCCAAGAAAUCUAUGCAAGAGAAAGGCAUUAAAUCUGAAGAUGUUAAAAAUCUACCACCUAUCGAAGAGAUCCAUGGUCUCGAUAACUCGAUACAGGUAGUAGAAGUGAAUUCUCUACGUAGGUUUGAUGAGAGUGAUAUUCCUUUUGACAAACCUGCUAGCCUAUGAUUUGAUGAAUUUGACAACUUUGUUGCCAAACAAUAGAGUUUCAAUGAUUAUGUUAGCAGGCAUUUGGAACAAAGUACUCGUAUGCUUAGCCAUUUCAGUGCUUGUGUAGACAGAAAUGUCAAUGAUCUGAAGCUUCUGAGUAAACAUGCCUCUAUGAUUACUACUCAGGUAGAACAAGUACUUAAAGCUCAGAAUGACCUUCUCAAUGAAUUAAAUGACAACUCUAUCAGAGUCAUCACUAGAGGAGGCAAAAUGACUCAGGAACCUUUGUAUCCUGAAGGUCAUCCUAAGAGAAUUGAUCAAGAUUCUCAAGGAAUCAAUGCUGAUACACGCAGUCAUCCUAAGGAGAAGAAGAAGGAUGAUAGAAACCUACAUGCCAGUUCACCAAAUACUGUCACACCAGAAGAACCUAAUGAUAUUUCUGCGUUUGAUGCAGAAACACAAUCUGGUGAUGAACAUGAACCUGGUGACAAUAUGGACAGUGAUGUUCAUAAUAAUGCUCAACCUAGCAAUGAUGAGGAUGUGGAGAUUGAACCUACGGUAAAUCCUGAAAACCCACAACCCAAGAAAUACGAUAUGAAUGACUUCACUGCUAGGAAGCAUGGUAAAGAAAGGGAGCCAUGGGUUCAGAGAUCUAUGCCCUUUCCUCCUAAGCCAUCUAAGAAAAAGGAUGAUGGGGAUUUUGAGGGCUUCAUUGAGAUGAUAAGACCCAUCUUUCUGCAGAUGCGGUUAACUGAUAUGCUCAAGAUGUCUCCGUAUGCCAAGUACAUGAAAGAUAUCAUGACUAAUAAACGGAAGAUACCAGAUCUUGAGAUCUCCACCAUGCUUGCCAACUACACUUUCAAAGGUGGAACUCCUAAGAAACUUGGUGACCCCGGAGUGCCCACUAUACCUUGCUCCAUUAAAGGAAACUACGUAAGAACUGCCUUAUGUGACCUUGGAGCCGGUGUUAGNNNNNNNNNNNNNNNNNNNNNNNNNNNNNNNNNNNNNNNNNNNNNNNNNNNNNNNNNNNNNNNNNNNNNNNNNNNNNNNNNNNNNNNNNNNNNNNNNNNNAAUAUUCAUGAGCUAACCAAGGUUCUUAUGCCAUUUUGAGGUUAUUAUAGCAUUUUGGAGCUAAUUGGGCUAAUUAUGUCAUUGUUGGGUAAAUUAUAGCAAGGAUAAUAUGAAAGAGGAGAACAAAGAGGGGGGAGGAGAAGAAGAAGAAAUCAAGAAGGAGGAGAAGGAGGAGGAGGAGAAGGACUAGAAGGUCCUUGGCCUUCUCCUCAUUCUCCUUCUUCUCUUCUUCUUCUUCUUCUUCUUCUUCUUCUUCUUUCUUUUCAUUUUUCCUAUUUCUUCUCCUCUUCUCCUCUUGUUGGAGCUAAAUUACCUAAUUAUGUCUUUUUGGAUCUAAAUACGCUAAUUAUCCCAUUUUAGAGGAAACCAAGCUAAGUAUAUAAUAUUCAUGAGCUAACCAAGGUUAUUAUGCCAUNNNNNNNNNNUCUCUUCUUCUUCUUCUUGUUCGUUCUUUUCAUUUUUCAUAUUCCUUCUCCUCUUAUCCUGUUGUUGGAGCUAAAUUACCUAAUUAUGUCUUUUUGGAUCUAAAUGGGCUAAUUAUCCCAUUUUAGAGGAAAACAAGCUAAGUAUAUAAUAUUCAUGAGCUAACCAAGGUUCUUAUGCCAUUUUGAGGUUAUUAUGACAUUUUGGAGCUAAAUGGGCUAAUUAUGUCAUUGUUGGGGAAAUUAGAGCAAGGAUAAUAUUAAAUAGGAGAAGAAAGAGGAGGAGAAGGAGAAGAAGAAGAAAUCAAGAACGAGCAGGAGAAGGAGGAGGAGGAGAAGGACUAGAAGGUCCUUGGCCUUCUCCUCCUCCUCCUUCUUCUUCUUCUCUUCUUCUUCUUUCUUUUCAUUUUUCCUAUUUCUUCUCCUCGUAUCCNNNNNNNNNNNNNNNNNNNNNNNNNNNNNNNNNNNNNNNNNNNNNNNNNNNNNNNNNNNNNNNNNNNNNNNNNNNNNNNNNNNNNNNNNNNNNNNNNNNNCCUCCACCACCCCUCCCGCCGGCGACCCCACCCCACCAGAACUCCACCACCUCGGCCACCAUUGCAGCACGGGAGCCCCAGCCACGGUAAGGCCCUCCCUCCUUUUUUUUACUUGUUUUGUUUUUUUAGCCCUUAGAUCUAUUUCCAACGGUAUAGAUUACAUAGGUACUUACCCCUUCGAUCUUUUAGAUAAAACCGAUCGGUUUUACUUUCACUUAAGUUUAGCCGAAGUGAAUUAGUUAAAUAGCGGCCGUUUGUUAGUUAUCCCCGCAGCACUCACCCCCUUAGCCAAUUAGAAAAUGCCACGUGGACCCCUGUCCACAAAUCAGUUUUUUCCCUUUUUUUGUUUUAGUUCCAAAAACAGCAAAGUUCCUGUUUUGUUUUGGCCAUAACUUUUGAUCCCGAAGUCCAAUGAUAGUGAUUCUUUUUCCAGAAGCUCACAAAUUGCCUGUAGUUUUCAAAAAUAUAUAAUUUGUCUAUGUUUGAAAUUUUCAAAUAUAAGUUAGAUCAGAUUUAGUUUAAACCUUGUUUUGCUUAUUCCAGGAGUUUAAAAAUAGCUUUUAAUUUGAUUCCUUUUGGUACUGAUCACUAGUGAUCUUAUUUAUCAGUGGUAAGAAUUUCAGAUUUGUUUGAGUACUUUCGCUCACUGUUUAUUGCGAAACAAUUUAUGUUUCACCUCUUUUAGGAUUUCGGCUAAUUCCUUUUCUACUUUUGUUUUAAAAUAUUUUCUUUAUUAUUUCAGAAAUAUUAUGUUUUGUUAGUUAAACAGUAGUUUUGCAACAAGUUUUUAUUUUAUAUUUAUUUGUUUUCAUGAAAUCAAUUCUAGUUCAUUGGUAACUUGCAAUUGGUUUCCCCGUGUUUCAAAUCCCGUUUGGGAAUACUUUCAAAACGUUUUGUGAAAAAUACUUUAUUUUAUAUUAGUUAAACUUAUAUCUUAGUUCCUUGUUAUUGUUUUAUGUUAGAGAAAAACUAUUUAGUGUUUGACAUAGUACAAGACUCCCUAGUCUUAUUUGAAGUUUCCUUCGGAUUCCUAUUCGCUCUCUCUUUUGUUUUGAUUGCUAGUAUGAGUGCUUAUGUGAAUGAUAUGUUUGUUAUAUAGAUUUCAUCGGAGAGUGAGAGUAGUCUAUCAAGUUAUUUUCUCGAGAAAUUCUUCUUCGUCAACAUCACCAGGCAAGUCACUUUGAUCAUACUAUCACCUAUGUUUUUAUGCAUCGUAGUUCUACCAUCCUAUGCCCAAAUUGCAUGCUGCUUAGGUACUUGGAAAUUUUAGUAUAGAUUGUAGUAUCAUGUGGUAGGCACACAAAAACCCCGAUACUUGGCCCCGGGACGACAAAUUUCAUAUUGCUAUGCUUGAGUAGAUGGGAAUUCGGUUGAGUGCAUAACACGAGUGAUGCGAGGUUGACUAAAUAAUCAAGACCGGUUAAGACAAGAUUUUCAAGACCUCGGACGCAAUGCAACUCUGGGUGAAGGACGGUUGAUCGGCUCCCUGGAGAACCCAGUGGAUGACCCGGGAUGCUGGAGAGGCCAUGGCAUCCUGCGGAAAGCUUCACCCAGGCUCAAAGAGAUGAACGGAUAUUUUCAAGACCCAAGGCUUACCUGCACAGCCACAAGUCAUUAUGGGCUCUGGCUUGGUUGGACAACACGGCGACUCUGGACAGGCGGUGCUAGCAGAUGUAGAAGAACGGUAGGAUUGGAUGGGCACCGACAGGGAUUCAGAGCGACCCGUUGAAAGACCAUGUUUUGAUCAUCCAGUCUUCAAACACCCAGAAGUGCGAGGACAUACUCGGAGGCGAUCAAAUUUUGUGGGGAACGUGUGCAAAACUCUGCACGGUACUCAAACCUAAUCGAUUAGCCGUGUCCACAGUCAUGGACAACUUGAGCCAAAGAAACUGAAGUUAUCUGGAUUUCUCAACACCAUUAUAUAUAUUUGAUGAGGGUAAUUAUUGACAACUCGGGUACGAGAACUGGUUGGCGGAACCAUCUCGUUAACAACCAACUUUUGUAGUAAUAUUUUGCUUUUAGCCCCUCUUGUUGUAGGAUAAAAUUGGCUUUAUGCAAAACUUAUAGCCCCACCUGCCAAAUAUGCAUGUAGAGAUAGAUGAUAUUUUACCCCUCUCAUAUGUGACUUGCCGGCAUAUUCAAUAUGCUGACCUACACGACUGCAACGUCUUAUGUUGCAGAUAUUUUCUUCGACGAGUAAGAGUACGAUUCAGGGUUACGGUCUACACUCAACUUGCCGUUUGUGUUUAUUGGGACUCCACUCCCUUGACUGCUUUCGCUGAGAUAUUUAAGGUAUAUAUCGGUUUUACGCUAUUUACAUGUGAUUGCACUUUGAUAUGUACAUUGAUGUACUGUGUGUGCCAGCAUACUAAUCCAGGGAUGGCACAGAUACACAGAGGCUUGACUCGUCUUGAGUCGGGUCGCUACAAUCACAAAGCUCAAUGAAGGUAUUGAGAUGGGAUGCGGCAUCUUCACUAGGAAGGCCAGAGAAUUGCUCUUUCAUAACAAGAUUCAGCAAAGCUGCGUUGAUUUCAUACGAUUCCGCACUAGUGGCGGGAGCAAUCGAAGUACUAAUAUAAUCAUUAUUAUUAGUGCUCGAGAAGUCGCAAAGUUUGGUGUUUUCAGCCAUGAUGACUUCAACAAAAAAACAAGCACACAAGCAAGCGAGAAAACCAGCAAAGGGAAAUGGCAAAGGCAAAAUAAAACGGCGAAGGAGAAAGGCAAAUGGAAACGACAAAUGUGAAGUGGGGGAGAGGAAAACGAGAGGCAACUGGCAACAAAAGUAAAUGCAAGAGAUGAGUUUGUGAGACCUACUUGGAUAGAUCUUGAUUUCUCCUCCACGGCAACGGCGCCAGAAAUACUUCUGCUACUGCAACAAAAGACCUUCCAAUGGCGCCAGAAAUAGGCACGUUGACGGGAGAAUACUUGACUUGAUCCUUCUGCUGAGGCUAUGCCUUAAGGGACUUCCUAGGCAAGUAUGCAAAGGAUUUCCCCCAUGGCCUUGGAGCCUUGCCUUGGUGUUCCCUCGAAGCGGAAAGGGUGAUGUAGCGUAGCGGUGGUAAGUAUUUCCCUCAGUUUGAGAACCAAGGUAUCGAACCAGUGGAGGAGUAUCACAAGAGCCUGUACAAACACAAAAAGCUUGCUCCCAACGCUAUAAGGGGUUGUCAAUCCCUUAUAGAUUGUUUGCCAAGUGAUAACUGAAAGCAACAAAGUAACAAAGCAAAGUAAAAGCGAAAGUGGAAACGAUAGGUGUGAAUAGACCCGGGGGCCGUAGUGUUUACUAGUGGCUUCUCUCAUGAAAGCAAGUAGACGGUGGGUGAACAAAUUACUGUCGAGUAAUUGAUAGAACCGCGAAAGUCAGGACGAUAUCUAUGGCAAUGAUUAUAUCUAUAGGCAUCACGUCCAAAACAAGUAGAUCGAUACUUUCUGCAUCUACUACUAUUACUCCACACGUCGACCGCUAUCCAGCAUGCAUCUAGUGUAUUAAGUCCAUAAGAACAGAGUAACGCCUUAUGCAAGAUGCCAUGAUGUAGAGGGAUAAUCUCAAACCAAUGACGAAAACGUCAUCUUUUUACCCUUGAUGGCAACUACUUAAUGUGUGCCUUGCUGCCCCUACUGUCACUGGGAAAGGUCACCACAUGGUAGAACCCAAAACCAAACACUUCUCCCAUUGCAAGAAUCAUAGAUCUAGUUGGCCAAAAAAAACCCAAGACUCGGAGAAACUUACAAGGAUAUCAAAUCAUGCAUAUGAGAAAUUAGCAAAGACUCAAAUAUAUAUCAUAGAUAAUCUGAUCACAAAUCCACAAUUCAUCGGAUCUCGAGAAACACACCGCCAAAGAAGAUUACAUCGGAUAGAUCUCCAUGAAGAUCAUGGAGAACAUUGUAUUGAAUAUCCAAGAGAAAGAAGAAGCCAUCUAGCUACUAACUACGGACCCGUAGGUCUGAAGUGAACUACUCACGAGUCAUUAGAGGGGCGAUGAUGAUGAUGAAGAAGCCCUCCAACUCCAAAGUCCCCUCCGGCAGGGUGCCGGGAAGGGUCUCCAGAUGAGAUCUCGUGGAAACGGAAGCUUGCGGCGGCGGAAAAGUGUUUUCGAGGCUCCCCUGAUUUUUUGCUGAAUUUUUGGGAAUAUAUAGGCCAAGGAUCUUGGUCAGGGGGCGGCCAGGGAUGCCACAAGCCUUGACACCGCCGCCUCCCCCUGGUGGCGGAGUGGGAGCUUGUGGGCUCCCUGGAGCCCACCUGGCUUGGCCCAGAGGCCCCCUGAUCUUCUUCCGUUCGGGAAAAAAUCAUUUCAGGGUUUUUAUUCCGUUUGGACUCCGUUCCAAAAACAGAUCUGAAAGGAGUCAAAAACACACAAAAAACAGGAAGUGGCACUUGGCAGUGAAUUAAUAAGUUAGUCCCAAAAAAGAUAUAAAAGGUACAUAAAACAUACAAAGAUGACAAGAUAACAGCGUGAAACCAUCAAAAAUUAUAGAUACGUUUGAGACGUAUCAUCGUCCGUUUGGCAAUAAAUCGGGAUGGAUCGCGAUGACAUCGCGGGACGGUUCGUGAUGAGAUCGUGGUGUGGACUGAGCAUUGGAUUGCGAAGAUGUUCGACUACAUCAAACACGUUAUAUACACUUCCGCUUAGCGAUCUACAAGGGUAUGUAGAUGCACUCUUCGCUCUCAUGGAUGAUCAUCACCAUGGAUAGGUCUUGCGUGUGCGUAGGAAAUUUUUUGUUUCCCAAGCAACGUUCCCAAACAGUGGCAUCAUGAGCUAGGUUCAUGCGUAGAUGAUAUCUCGAGUAAAACACAAAAGUGUUUGUGGGCGCUGAUGUUCAAUUUGCUGCCCUUCUUAGUAUUUCUUGGUUCGGCGGUAUUGUUGGAUUGAAGCGGCCCGGACCUACAUUACUCGUACGCUUACGAGAGACCGAUUUCAUCGACUAACUUGCAACUUCUUGCAUAAAGAUGACUGGUGGGUGCCUGUUUCUUCAACUUUAGCUGAAUCGGAUUUGACGGAGGCAGUCCUUGGAGAAGGUCAAAUAGCAAUUUGCAUAUCACCGUUGUGGCUUUGUGUAAGUAAGAUGCGAUCAUACUAGAUACCAUAGCGGCCACCUAAAAUUUGCAACACCAAAUUAGGGAUUCCUAACUUGUUUUUGCAGGGUAUGCAUGUGAUGUGAUAUGGCCAAAGACAUGAUAUGAUAUAUCGGAUGUAUGAGAUGAUCAUGUUGUAAUAGUUAAAUAUCGACUUGCGUGUCAGUGCUACGGCAACCGGCAGGAGCCAUAGGGUUGUCUUUAAUUAUUUUUGUGCUUGGUGAUGCUUUGCUUUAUCGCUAGUAGUAGCUUUAGUAAUAACAUCAUAGUUAGCGCAACAACCUCGAUGGCAGCACAAUGAUGGAUAUCAUGAUGAUGGAGAUCAUGGUGUGGUGCCGGUGACUAUGGAGAUCAUACCGGUGCUUUGGUGAUGGAGAUCAAGAAGCACAAGUUCAUGGCCAUAUCAUGUCACUUAUGAUUUGCAUGUUAUGUUAAUCCUUUUAUGCACCUUAUUCUGCUUAGGACGAUGGUAGCAUUGUAAGAUGAUCCCUCACUAAAAUUUCAAGAUAAAAUUGUGUUCUCCCCGACUGUGCACCGUGGCCACAGUUCGUCAUUUCGAGACACCACGUGAUGAUCGAGUGUGAUAGACCCUACGUUCACAUACAACGGGUGCAAUACAUUUGGACACACGGAACACUCAGGUUAAACUUGACGAGCCUAGCAUGUACAUACAUGGCCUCCGAACACACCAGACCAAAAGGUCGAGCAUGAGUCAUAUAGUGGAUAUGAUCAAAAUGGAUAUGUUCACCAUUGAAGCUAAACUCAACUCACAUGAUGAUCGGACUUGAGUUAGUGAAUUUGGAUCAUGUACCACUCGACUAACCAGAGGGAUGUCAAUUUGAGUAAGAGUUCUUAAGUAAUAUGAUUAAUUGAACUCAUUAUCAUGAACAUAGUCAAAAUGUCUUUGCAAAUUAUGUUGUAGCUUUCGAUGUAGCUCUACUGUUUUUGAUAUGUUCCUAGAGAAAACAUAGUUGAAAGAUAAUAGUAGCAAUUAUGCAGACUGGCUCCGUAAACUGAGGAUUGUCCUCAUUGUUGCGCAGAAGGCUAAUGUCCUUAAUGCACCGCUCGGUGUGCUGAACCCCGAGCGUCGUCUGUGGAUGUUGCGAACAUCUGACAUACACGUUUUUGAUGACUACGUGAUAGUUCAGUGAGUAAUGCUUAACAGCUUAGAAUUGAGGCGUCGAAGAUGUUUUGAACGUCACGGAACAUAUGAGAUGUUCCAAGAGAUGAAAUUGGGAUUUCAGGCUCGUGCCCGUGUUGAGAUGUAUAAGACCUCCGACAAUAUUCUUUGUCUACAAAGUAAGGGAGAAAAGCUCAAUCGUUCAGCAUGUGCUCAGAUUGUCUGGGUACUACAAUCGCUUGAAUCAAGUGGGAGUUGAUCUUCCAUAUAAGAUAGUGAUUGACAUAGUUCUCCAAAGUCACUGCCACCAAGCUACAGAGCUUCGUGAUGAGCUAUAACAUAUCAGGGAUAGAGAUGACGAUCCUUGAGUUAUUCGUGAUGUUUGACACCGAGAAAGUAGAAAUCAAGUUGGGGCAUCAAUUGUUGAUGAUUAGUAAAACAACUAGUCUCAAGAAGGGCAAGGGAAAGAAGGGAUACUUGAUGACUAGAAAACCUGUUGUCGCUCUAGUGAAGAAACCCAAGGUUAAACCCAAACCCGAGACUAAGUGCUUCUUCAUAUAAUAGGGGAACGGUCACUGAAGCAGAACUGCCCUAGUUACUUGGUAGAUGAGAAGGCUGGCAAAGUCGACAAAAGUAUAUUGGAUAUACAUGAUAUUGAUGUGUACUUUACUAUUACUCCUAGUAGCACCGGGGUAUUACAUACCGGUUCGAUUACUAAGUGUUAGUAACUCGAAAUAAAAGCUGCAGAAUAAGUGGAGACUAGCUAAAAGCGAGGUGACGAUGUGUGUUGGAAGUAUUUCCAAGGUUGAUGUCAUCACUAUCGUACACUCUCUCUACUUUCAAAAUUAAUGUUGAACCUAAAUGUUGCUUGGUGUCUGCGUUGAGAAUAAACAUGAUCGGAUCGUGUUAAUUGCAAUACGAUUAUUCAUUUAAAAAGAAUAAUGGUUAAUAUGUUUACUUGAAUAACACCUUCAAUGGUCUUCUGCCUAAAAUGAAAGGUUUAUUGAAUCUCGAUCGUAGUGAUAGACAUGUUCAUAAUUUUGUUGCCAAAAGAUACAAAGUAGUAAUGAUAGUACCACUUACUUGUGGCACUGCCGCUUGAGUCAUAUUGGGAUAAAAUGCAUGAAGAAGCUCCACGCUGAUGGAUCUUUGGACUCACUCGUUUUUGAAUCAUUUGAGACAUGCAAACUAUCCCUGUUGGUAUAAAUGCAUGAAGAAACUCCAUGGAGAUGGAUUGUUUAGACUCACUUGAUUUCGAAUCACUUGAGACAUGUAAAUCAUGCCAUGUGGGAAAAAUGACUGAAGGCCUCGUUUUCAGUGAGAUGGAGCGAGCAAGUGACUUGUUGGAAAUAAUACAUUUUCAUGUAUGCAGACCAAUGAGUUCUGAGGCAUAUAGUGGAUAUCGUUAUGUUCUUACUUCACUUAUGAUUUGAGUAGAUACAGGUGUAUUUUCUUGAUGAAUCACAUAGUCUGAUAUAUUGAAAAGUUCAAGCAAUUUCAGAGUGAAGUUGAAGAUCAUCGUAACAAGAGGAUAAUAUGUCUACUAUGUGAUCGUAGAGGUAAAUAUAUAUCUGAGUUACGAGUUUGGUAAACAUUUAAGACAAUGUGAAAAUUGUUUCACAACUCAUGCCACCUAGAACACCAUAGUGUGAUGGUGCGUCCGAAUGUCAUAGCCGCCCCCUAUUGGAUAUGGUGCAUAUUAUGAUGUCUCUUAUCUAAUUUCCACUAUCGUUUUUGGGUUAGGCAUUAGAGACAGUCGCAUUCACUUUAAAUAGGGCACCACAUAAUUCCGUUGAGAUGACACCGUAUGAACUAUGGUUUGGAGAAACCUAAGCUAUCGUUUCAUAAAAGUUUGGGGCUGCGACUCUUAUGUGAAAAAGUUUUAGCCUAAUAAGCUUGAACCCAAAGUGGAUAAAUGCAUCUUCAUAGGUCACUCAAAUCAGUUGGGUAUACCUCCUAUCUCAUAUCUGAAAGCAAAGUGUUUGUUUCUAGAAAUGGGUCCUUUCUCGAGAAAAAGUUUCUCUCGACAGAAUUGAGUGGGAGGAUGGUGGAAACUUGAUAAGGUUAUUGAACCGUCACUUCAAUAAGUAGCAGGGCGUAGGAAGAUGUUCCUGUGGCGCCUACACUAGUUGAAGUGGAAAGCUGAUGAUGGUGAUCAUGAAGCUUCAGAUCAAGUUACUGUUGUCGUGGGUAUAAGUCUGACAGUAGAUGUACAGGGUACAGAAGGAUGGGCAGAGCCUUAGCUACGGCGAGGUUGUAUGAGUUCAGGCNNNNNNNNNNNNNNNNNNNNNNNNNNNNNNNNNNNNNNNNNNNNNNNNNNNNNNNNNNNNNNNNNNNNNNNNNNNNNNNNNNNNNNNNNNNNNNNNNNNNGUGUGGAGUAAUAGUAGUAGAUGCAGAAAGUAUCGGUCUACUUGUCUCGGACGUGAUGCCUAUAUGUAUGAUCAUUGCCUUAGACAUCGUCAUGACUUUGCACGGUUCUAUUAAUUGCUCGACAGUAAUUUGUUCACCCACCGUAAUAUUUUCUAUUUUGAGAGAAGCCUCCAGUGAACACUAUGGCCCCCGGGUCUACUCCACUCCAUAUUUUCAGCCUUACACUUUUUCUUCGUUGCACUUUCCGCCUUCAGAUCUCACUUUGCAAUCAAUCUUGAAGGGAUUGACGACCCCUUUAUAGCGUUGGGUGCAAGCUCUUUGUGUUUGUGCAGGUACUCUGGACUUGACGAGAUUCUCCUACUGGAUUGAUUCCUUGGUUCUCAAACUGGGGGAAAUACUUACUGCUCCUGUGCUGCAUCACACUUUCCUCUUCAAGGGAAAAACCGACGCAAGCAAGAGAAGUUGGAAGAAGAAUUCCUGGCGUUGCCGGGGAAGGCCUUUUGUUGCCAGAGCAGAAGAAUUUCUGGCGCCGUUGCCAGGGAGGAUCAAGUCAAGAACUGAUCCAAGUAAGUCUCACAAACUCAACUCUUGCAUUUACUUUGUUUGCCAGUUGCCUCUCAUUUUCCUCUCCCCCACUUCACAAUUUGCCUUUUUCGUUUGCCUUUUUUCAUUUGCCUUUUUCGUUCGCCCUUUUCUCUCACUUGCUUUCUGUUCGCUUGUGUGCCAUGUGCCUACAAUAUGCUUGCAUCUUCGCUUGCUGAAAAUCUAAUGAUAUGGAUCCUCAUCCACUUGCUAAUCUCUUUAAGAGAUCCAAUUAUGUUGAUCCAAUUGCUAGUGAGUUGAGUGCACUUGACUAUCUUUAUGGAGUUUUGCUUGAGAUGCGUGAAUCUGAAAAUUGUGAGGAAGAAAUUUAUGAAGUGAUUCACGAGGGAUCCUUGGAUGAAAAGCAUGAUUGCAAUGGUUUCACUAUAAUUUCUAUUAGUGACAGUCAUGCCAAAAAUAUGCAAAACCCUAAGCUUGGGGAUGCUAGUUUUGCUAUGUCCACUACUGGUUGCAAUGACCAUGAUUGGGGUAAUGAUUUUUCUUAUGAUCUCGAAAAUUUGUUUAACCUCAUGAUGAAUAUGAUGUUUGCAAUAUUAUUGAAAGUGGGUUUGGAGACGUCAUGACUUUAGUUGAUGAUAAUCCCACUAUUUUUGAAGAGCGUCAACUUUGCAUGCAUGUGGAUCAUGAAAAGAAUAUCCUUNNNNNNNNNNCUCCUUGGAUGAAACGCAUGAUUGCAAUGGUUUCACUAUAAAUUCUAUUAGUGACAAGCAUGCUAGAAAUAUGCAAAACCCUAAGCUUGGGGAUGCUAGUUUUGCUCUGUCCACUACUUGUUGCAAUGAUCAUGAGUGGGGCGAUGAUUUUUCUUAUGAUCUUGAAAAAAAAAAUUAAGCCUCAUGGUGAAUAUGAUAUUUGCAAUAUUAUUGAAAUUGAGUUUGGAGAAAUCAUGACUUUAGUUGAUGAUAAUCCCACUAUUUUCGAAGAGCGUCAACUUUGCAUGCAUGUGGAUCAUGAAAAGAAUAUCCUUUGUGAUAGCUAUAUUGUUGAAUUUGAUUAUGAUCCCACAUGUAAUUGCUAUGAGAGAGGAAAAUAUUGUGGUAAAACUUUCAUGUUACCAAAUUACCUCUCGUUAUGUUGAGAUUGAUAUUGUCUCUUUCUUCUUCCUUGCAUAUGGUAACUAUGGUUUGUCUUGACAAUAUGUUUUCCUAUAAAAUGCCUAUGCAUAGGAAGUAUGUUAGACUUAUAUGUGAUUUUCACAUUCUUUAAGAUGCUCUCGUUGUGCUUCAAUUCUUGUCUUUUGAGUGAGCAUCAUCGAAUUAUCAAUGCCUAGCUAAGGGUGUUAAACAAUAGCGCUUGUUGGGAGGCAACCCAAUGAAUUUAUCUUUUUAUUUCUGUUUUGUUGCGUCAACACCAUCAUAAUUCUGUUAUGAUUGUGUCUUUUGUGUUUCUUUUUGUGUUUGUGCCAAGCAAAACCUUUAUGAUUAGUUUGGUGAUGGUUGUUUGAUCCUGCUGGAAAAAGACAGAAACUUUUCGCUCACGAGAUGAUUUUUCAUUUUUAUUCAGAAAGAUAUUUUGAGUUUAUUCUUUUUUGUGCUGGUUGAUAUGCCUUUUUACUAGGCAGUCGUAAGUUUUCAGAAUUUUUGAGGUACCAGAAGUAUAAGAAGUAUACAGAUUGCUACAGACUGGUCUGUUUUUCACAGAUUCUAUUUUUGUUGAGUUGGUUGCUUGUUUUGAUGAAACUAUGGAUAGUAUCGGGGGGUACUUGCAAUGAAAAAGUGAGAAUACAGUAAUAUAAAACCAAUAUAAAUAGAAAUAAAGAUUGCUACAGUACCUAAAGAGGUGGUAGUUUGUUUUCUUGUGCUAAUGAUAUCACGAGUUUCUGUUUAAGUUUUGUGUUGUGAAGUUUUCAAGUUUUGGGUGAUGUUCUCAUGGAUAAAGAGAUAAGGAGUGGAAAGAGCUCAAUCUUGGGGAUGCCCAAGGCAUCCCAAGCCAAAUUCAAGGACACCAAAAACCCUAAGCUUGGGGAUGCCCCGGGAAGGCAUCCCCUCUUUCGUCUUCAAUCCAUCGGUAACAUUACUUGGAGCUAUAUUUUUAUUCAUCAAAUGAUAUGUGUUUUGCUUGGAGCAUCUUGUAUCUUAGGAGUCUUUUAUUUUUGUUGUGUCACAAUCAUCCUUGCUGCACACCUUCAGAGAGAUACAUGCACUCAUCGUGAUUUUGCUAGAAUGCUCAUUGUGCUUCACUUAGAUCUUUUAGCGCACGGCGGUGCGAUACUUGGUAGUUGGCUUAUGCUUUGAAAGUAGUCCCAAGGGUGAUACGUACCCAAAGAAGAUACAAAAGCCUCCAUCUUCAUGCGCAUUGAGUAGAAAGAGAAGUUUUGAUUCCUCUCAAUUAGUUUUGAGANNNNNNNNNNUGAUUUGGUAAUACUAAGAGUUAUGUUAGUAGGUUGUUGUGAAUCUAGAAAUGCUUGUGUUGAAGUUAGUGAUUCCCGUAGCAUGCACGUAUGGUGAACCUCUAUGUUGGGAAGUCGGAGAAUAAUUGAUCUAUUGAUUGUCAUCCUUUGUGUUGAGCUCAGGAUCUCGUGAUGGUUAACACCUACCAACCCUUCCCCUCGGAGUAUGCGUUCAGCACUUUGUUUUGAUUACUAAUAAAAACUUUCGCAACAAGUAUGUGAGUUCUUCAUGACUAAUGUGAGUCCAUGGUAUAUAUGCACUUUCACCUUCCACCAUUGCUAGCCUCUCUAGUGCCGCACAAUUCUCGCCAGUGCACAAACCCACCAAAUGCCUUCCUCAAAAUAGCCACCGUAUCUACCUACUAUGGCAUUUUCAUAGCCACUCCGAGAUAUAUUGCCAUGCAACUCCCAUCGUUUCGUCUCAUGACUUGUGCCGUUACUCUCAUAUUGCCAUUGCAUGAUUGUAAGAUAGCUAGCGAGAUGUUUGAACGUCAUACGCCAAGCUAGAUCGUUGCACAUCCCGGUACACUGCCGGAGGCAUUUCCUAUAGAGUCAUUUCUAAGCUUUGAGUUGUGAGUAAAUAAAAGUGUGAUGAUCAUCAUUAUUAGAGCAUUGUACCAUGUGAGAGAAAAGAGAGGCCAAAGAGCCCAAAUAAAAAAAGAAGAGAAAAAAAUAGGACCAAGAGCCCAAAUAAAAAAAGAGAGAAAAAGAGAGAAGGGACAAUGCUACUAUCUUUUUCCACACUUGUUCUUCAUAAUAGCACCAUGUAAUUCAUGAUUGAGAGCCUCUCGUUUCGUGACCACCAUAUGCUAGUGGGAAUCUUCAUUAUAUAACUUGGCUUGUAUAUUCCAAUGAUGGGCUUCCUCAAAAUUGCCCUAGGUCUUCGUGAGCAAGCAAGUUGGAUGCACACCCACUAGUUCUCCUUUUGAGCUUUCACAUACUUAUAGCUCUAGUGCAUCCUUUGUAUGGCAAUCCCUACUCAUUCACAUUGAUAUCUAUUAAUGGGCAUCUCCAUAGCCUUUUGAUAUGCCGAGUCAAUGUGAUCAUCUCCUCCUUUUUUGUCUCACAACCACCACCACACUCUAUUCCACUUAUAGUGCUAUAUCCAUAGCUCACGCUCAUGUAAUGCGUGAUAGUUAUAAAAAGUUUGAGAAAGUAAGAGUGCGAAAACAAUUACUUGGCCAAUACCGGGGUUGUGCAUGAUUUACAUUAGUUGUGUGAGGAUGAUGGAGCAUAUCCAGACUAUAUGAUUUUGUAGGGAUAACUUUCUUUGGCCUUGUUAUUUUGAAAGUUCAUGAUUACCUUGCUAGUUUGCUUGAAGUAUUAUUGUUUUCAUCUCAAUAGCAAACUAUUGUUUUGAAUCUUACAGAUUUGAACAUUCAUAUCACACGGCAGAAGUUCAAAGGACAACUAUGCUAGGUAGCAUUCCACAUCAAAAAUUCAUUCUUUAUCACUUCCCUACUUGAGGACGAGCAGGAGUUAAGCUUGGGGAUGCUUGAUACGUCUCCAACGUAUCUAUAAUUUUUGAUGGCUUCAUGCUAUUAUAUUUUGAAACUUUGGAUGUUUUGUAUACCUUUUAUAUCUUUUUUUGAGACUAACCUAUUAACUCAGUGCCAAGUGCCAGUUCCUGUUUUUUCCAUGUUUUUGACCCCUUUCAGAGGAGGAUUUUAAACGGAGUCCAAACGGAAGAAACUGCCAAAACGAUUUUUUUCCAAAACAGAAAAAGAUCGGGAAGCCUGAGAAUCAAGGCAGGGGGCCACCAGGGACCGCACAAGCUCCCUAGCCGCGGCCAGGGGGGCCCGCGCCUCCCAGGCUUGUGGGCUCCCUGGGCCUCCUCUGCCCUAGGUCUUUCGCCUAUAAAUUCCCUAAAAUCCCAGAAAAAAUCAGGAGAUCAUCGAAAGUACUUCUCCGCCGCCGCAAGCUUCUGUCUCUGCAAGAUCCCAUCUAGGGCACGUUCUGGUGCCGUGCCGAAGGGGGGAAUUCGGAUACGGAGGGCUUCUUCAUCAACACCAUGACCUCUCCGAUGAUGCGUGAGNNNNNNNNNNGCCAGACUAUAUGAUUUUGUAGGCAUAACUUUCUUUGGCCUUGUUAUUUUGAAAGUUCAUCAUUACCUUGCUAGUUUGCUUGAAGUAUUAUUGUUUUCAUGUCAAUAGCAAACUAUUGUUUUGAAUCUUACGAAUCUGAACAUUCAUGUCACGUGAAAGAAGUUGCAAAGGACAACUAUGCUAGGUAGCAUUCCAGAUCAAAAAUUCAUUCUUUAUCACUUCCCUACUCGAGGACGAGCAUGAGUUAAGCUUGGGGAUGCUUGAUACAUCUCCAACAUAUCUAUAAUUUUUGAUGGUUUCAUGCUAUUAUCUAGUCAAACUUUGGAUGUUUUGCAUGCGUUUUAUACAUUUUUUGGGACUAUCUUAUUAACCCAGUGCCAAGUGCCAGUUCCUGUUUUUUCCAUGUUUUUGACCACUUUCAGAGGAGGAUUUUGAACGGAGUUUAAACGGAAUGAAACUGCCAAAAAGAUUUUUUCUGAAACGGAAAAAGAUCGGGAAGCCGGAGAAUCAUGGCACGGGGCCUGCACGGACCCCACAAGCCCUCAUGGCGCGGCCAGGGGGCCUGCGCCUCUCUGGCUUGUGGGCUCCCUGGGCCACCUUUGCCCUAGGUUUUGCACCUAUAUAUUCCCUAAAAUCCCAGAAAAAAUCAAGAGAUCAUCGAAAGUACUUUUCCGCCACCGCAAACUUCUGUCUCCGCAAGAUCCCAUCUCGGGCACGUUCUGGUGCCCUGCCGGAGGGCGGAUUCGGACACAGAGGGCUUCUUCAUCAACACCAUGACCUCUCCGAUGAUGCGUGAGUAGUUCACCAUAGACCUACGGGUCCAUAGCUAGUAGCUAGAUGGCUUCUUCUCUCUCUUGGAUCUUCAAUACAAAGUUCUCCAUGAUCUUCAUGCAGAUCUAUCCGAUGUAAUCCUCUUUGGCGGUGUGUUUGUCGAGAUCCGAUGAAUUGUGGAUUUGUGAUCAGAUUAUCUAUGAUAUAUAUUUGAGUCUUUGCUGAUUUCUUUUAUGCAUGAUUUGAUAUCCUUGUAAGUCUCUCCGAGUCUUGGGUUUUGUCUGGCCAAGUAGAUCUAUGAUUCUUGCAAUGGGAGAAGUGCCUGGUUUUGGGUUCUUACUGUGUGGUGACCUUUCCUAGUGACAGUAGGGGCAACAAGGCACACAUCAUGUAGUUGCCAUCAAGGGUAAUAAGGUGGGCUUUGUCGUCGAUAUGAGGUUGUUCAUCUACAUCAUGUCAUCUUGCUUAAGGCGUUACUCUGUUCUUUUGGACUUAAUACACUAGAUUCAUGCUGGAUAGCGGUCGACGUGUGGAGUACUAGUAGUAGAUGCAGAAAGUAUCGGUCUACUUGUUUUGGACGUGAUGCCUAUAGAUAUAAUCAUUGCCAUUGAUGACGUCACGACUUUGUGCGGUUCCAUCAAUUGCUCGACAGUAAUUUGUUCACCCUCCGUCUACCUGCUUUCAUGAGAGAAGCCACUAGUAAACACUACGGCCCCCUGGUCUAUUCACACCUAUCAUUUCCACUUUCGCUUUUACUUUGCUUUGUUACUUUGUUGCUUUCAGUUCUCACUUGGCAAACAAUCUAUAAGGGAUUGACAACCCCUUCACAGCGUUGGGAGCAAGUUUUUGUGUUUGUGUAGGCACUUGUGAUACUCCUUCACUGGUUCGAUACCUUGGUUCUCAAACAGAGGGAAAUACUUACCACCGCUGCGCUACAUCACCCUUUCCGCUUCGAGGGAACACCAACGCAAGGCUCCAAGGCCACGGGGGAAAUCCUUUGCAUAUUUGCCUAGGAAGUCCCUUAAGGCGUAGCCGUAGCACAAGGAUUCCUGGUGCCGUUGCUGAGGAGUACCAAGACAAGAACAGUCUCCCGUCAACACGACUAUUUCUGGCGCCGUUGGAAGGUCUUUUGUUGCAGUAGCACUCCUCCCCUCCCUCCCUCCUAUAUAUAAUAUAGGAUAUAGAGGCAGCCCUAACCCUAAUUGCCACGUGCUCCCUCUGCUUCAUCUAGACCAGUUUUUCCUCUAGUCUAGUUCGGCGGUGCUUAGGCGAAGCCCUGCUGGAUAAGUUCACCACCACCACCACCACGCCACCGUGCUAGAGAACUCAUCUACCUCUCCAUCCCUCUUGCUGGAUCAAGAAGGCGGGGAUCGUCAUCGAGCUGUACAUGUGCUGAACGUGGAGGUGCCGUCCGUUCGGCACUAGAUUGGGAUGGAUCAUGAUGGGAUCGCGGGACGGAUCGUGAUGAGAUCGCGAGACGGGCUGCGAUUUGAAUCGCGAAGAUGUUCCACUACAUCAACCACGUUAUAUAGGAUUCCACUUAGCGAUCUAUAAGGGUAUGUAGAUUCACUCUCCUCUCUCGUAGAUGAUCAUCACCAUGGAUAGGUAUCGCGUGUGCGUAGGAAAUAUUUUGUUUCCCAUGCUACGUUCCACAACAGUUUCACCGGCCAAGUUCAAGCUCGAGUUGCUCCCAUGCUACGGUGGCUCCCUUGACCCUGCGGAGUUCCUCCAAAUCUAUGCCAUGAGCAUCGAAGCGGCACGCGGUGAUGACAAGGUCAUGGCAAACUGGCUUCCGAUUGCCCUCAAGGACGGCACACAAUCCUCGCUCAUCAACCUGCCAAAGGUGUCGGUCUCUUCAUGGAGUGACCUCUGCGAGCUGUUCAUCGCCAACUUUAAGAGCAUGCACGACCGUCCCCUCUCCGUCAGUGACUUGCGUCACAUGAAGCAUCGCCCUGGGAAGACCCUCUACAAGUACAUCCAACGAUUUAGCCAGGUGCGCAACAACAUCCCGCGUGCCUCGGACGAUGGAGUCAUCAUGGCGUUCACCAACGAUGUCAAGGAUCUCAUGAUGUGAAAAAAGCUCACCAUCAACGACAACGUGAGCACGGCCAUGGAGUUGCUCAACCUCACCGACAAAUGCACCAAGGCCGAGGAGGGAUACCUGUUUGCGCAUGACAACCCUGACAACACGCCCGACGACGCCAAGGACAAGGCCAAGGAGCUCAAGUGCAAAUGAUCCACCAUGCUUGCGGCUGAGCCCGAGCAGAAGCGCAGCCACGAGUAGGGCAUGCCCGAAAAGGACUGCUGCCCAUUCUGCAUCUACCACGACGUAUACACCCACAACACUAAAGACUGCCAAGAGCUCGAGGUCCUCCGAGACGAGCGGGUUGGCCGGAGUUUGGAUCACAAUGACUGCGGUGCUGGUCGCGGCGGCGGGAGGUGGGACAACCACAACGGCAACUCUCACCAGGGCUGGUAUGAGCUGAUUUGCGAGAACGGCUGGCGCGAUUAGUCUCGUGAGGUGUGCCCUUGGGACAACGUGGUGUUCCCUCCGUUGCCACCGCCGCCAAGGAGGAAUAAUGACAACCAAAGCGAUGAGGAGACCGGAGCCUAUCAAGAGCCUCGCAUGGUGGCUUGCAUUCUUGGCAGAGCUCAUGCCCCCUCAUCGAACAUCUAGUUCAAACGACUCUCUCGCGACGUGAACACCGCCCUCCCGAGGCUGGUGGCUGCGAAGCCAUUCAAGUAGUCCCAGUACAGCAUCUCCUUCGACACCAGGGAGAGCCUCAAGUCCACAGCCGUCGCGGGCACGCUCCCCAUGAUAUGUACUACUACCACCAAGAACAUCGCGAUCACCAAGACUCUCAUCGAUGGAGCUGCGGGCCUCAUCGUGCUCUCCGUUGAAACCUCCGACAUGCUCGAGGUGCCUUACGAUGAACUGAUGCCGACCAAGCCGUUCUCCAGGGUGACUGGCGGCUCCACCACUCCGCUGGGGCAGGUCUGCCUUCCGGUCACCUUGGGCACACGCGACAACUAUCAUACAAAGCUCAUUGACUUUGACGUGGCGCACAUUGGUCUCCCGUACAAUGCCAUCUUGGGCUACCCAGCGUUGGUUAAGUUCAUGGCGACAACCCACCAUGGCUACAACAUCGUCAAGAUGCCGGGUUGCAGCGGCAUCAUCACCGUCACCUAUCACUUAAAGGGCGCGGUCUUCUGCCUCAACCGCGCCUACAGGGCCGCCGCAGCGGAGCGCUUCGACGAUUUCGGGGACGAUGUGCCUCGCGAAGUCGCACCCCCGAGGAAGAAACAAAUGAUGCCCGCCUCUGGCUCCGGAUAGGCGAAGGGUCCGGUGACUGACGCGAGGGUCGCAAGACUCGUGCGCAUUGCAGGUGCCUACCCCCUUCCGGCAAAGGAGGGCGCACUCAGCGGCUCCCUUAGGUCGAGCUUAGGGGUUUCCUCCUGGAAAGCAUAUGACCUGGCCGGUACAUCGAGAGAGGUGCUCGGGCACCACCUAGAGGUGUGCCUCAACGCGCGCCCUCGCAAUAAAGGGGUAUGACAUCGGACUCCGGGGGCAUAGGAGUUCAUCGCCCACGAAAUCGGCAAGUUGUGGGAGGCGCGUGCCAUGCGUGGCGAGCGUCGCCCUGAGCACCUCAUCAGGAGGAUCAUCACUCCCGGGAGGACCGUAAGGUGCGCAUGUGCGUCGAAGUUGCAAGCCUUAAUGGGGUCGCCUCCCAAAGCUCCUUCUGGCCUUCGCGCGUGGGCCUAUGCCAAGGCACCACCACCGACCAUGUUCACAUGCCCUUCGGCCUGGAGAACUCCAGUGCUACCUUCCAAAGGUUGGCAAGACUCACAACGGCGCCUCGCGUGGUGUCGAGACCUCACGCCCCCAGAGUUGCAGGGGCAACCGAUCCCUGAGGGGCCGGCCUUCAUGACACACCUCACCAAGCAAACUAGAGCUUCGACGAGAACGCAAUCGUCACGUGAAUUUUUGUUUUGUUCUAUAUCAAGGACACCGUUUGAGCUGGGUUAUCCUCGGUCGAGAGGGACCGCCCUCACAUAAUUCUCGCUUUUUGGCUGCAUGCUAAACCCUGUCAUUCCCUUCAAAACUUAUGUGGUUCGCUUGAUAAGCAUCACUGCUGGUUUGGCGUUUGUCGCCUCGGGUGCCAUGCAGCGAGUGAUUUUCUCAUGAUCAUUCCAUGAAAGAACCUGGCAUGACGUUUGUUCUCGAGUUCGUUCCAUGAAGGGCUUACCCUCGAUAACCCACAAGUAUAGGGGAUCGCAACAAUUUUCGAGGGUAGUGUAUUCAACCCAAAUUUAUUGAUUCAACUCAAGGGGAGCCAAAGAAUAUUCUCGAGUAUUAGCAGAUGAGUUGUCAAUUCAACCACACCUGAAAGACUUAAUAUCUGCAACAAAGUAUUUAUUAGCAAAGUAGUAUGGAAGUAACGGUAACGGUGGCAAACGUGACAGUAGCAGUUUUGUAGUGAUUGUAACAAUAGCAACGGAAAAGUAACUUAGCAAAGAUCAAUAUGUGGAAAGCUCGUAGGCAAUGGAUCAGUGAUGGAUAAUUAUGUCGGAUGGCAUUCAUCGUUCAACAGUCAUAACAUAGGGUGAUACAGAACUAGCUCCAAUUCAUCAAUGUAAUGUAGGCAUGUAUUCCAUAUAUAGUCAUACGUGCUUAUGGAAAAGAACUUGCAUGACAUCUUUUGUCCUACCCUCCCGUGGCAGCGGGGUCCUAAUGGAAACUAAGGGAUAUUAAGGCCUCCUUUUAAUAGAGAACGAGACCAAAGCAUUAGCACUUAGUGAAUACAUGAACUCCUCAAACCACGGUAAUCACCAGAUCCCAGUUAUUGUCACCCUCGGGGAUGCGGAUCAUGACUCGUAAUAGGUGUCUAUAACUUGCAAGAUAGGAUCAAGAACACAUAUAUAUUCAUGAAAACAUAAUAGGUUCAGAUUUGAAAUCAUGGCACUCUAGCCCUACUGACAAGCAUUAAGCAUAGCAAAGUCAUAGCAACACCAAUCUCAGAACAUAAUGGAUACUAGGGAUCAAACCCUAACAAAACUGACUCGAAUACAUGAUACAUCUCAUCCAACCCAUCACCGUCCAGCAAGCCUACGAAGGAAUUACUCACAAAUGGCGGAGAGUAUCAUGAAAUUGGUUAUUAAGGAUGGUUGGUGAUGAUGACAGCAUCGAUUUCCCUUCUCCGAAGCCCAAAUCAAACUCCAGAUCUGCCCUCCCGAGGAAGAACACGAGGUGGCGGCGGCGGCUCCGUAUCGUAAAACGUGAUGAACUCUUAUCUUUGAUUUUUUCCUCCUCGGAUAGGAAUAUAUAGAAGUGGAAACGAGGUCGGUGGAGCCACAGGGGCCCCACAAGCCACGGGGGUGCACCCUAGGGGGGCGCCCUCCAAGCUUGUGGCCAGGUGGUGGCCCGUCUCCGGUUGAUUCUUUCGCCAAUCUUUUUUAUUAAUGCCAAUAACGUUCUUGGUAAAUUUUCAGGUCAAUCCGAGAACUUUUAUUUGUGCACAAAAAUAACACCAAGGAAAUUCUACUAAAAACAACGUCAGACCAGGUUAAUUCCAUUCAAAUCAUGCAAAUUAGAGUCUAAAGCAAGGGCAAAAGAGUUUGGAAAAGUAGAUACGUUGGAGAUGUAUCAAUUCCCCCAAGCUUAAACCUUUGCUUGUCCUCAAGCAAUUCAGUUGAUAAACUGAAAGUGAUAAAGAAAACAAUUUACAAACUUUGUUUGAUCUUCUUGUUGUAAAUAUGUCUAAAUUAUGUUUAGAUCUUCAGCUAAGAUUACAGACUAACCACAUUCACAAUAAUAUUUAGGUCUCAUAUUUACUUAUAUCAAUGGAGUAAUCAACUAGCAAGCAAUAAUAAUAAGUCUCGGAUGGCAACAAUUUUAUCAAAACAGUCAUAAUACAAUAUGAUAAACUGGUAUCUCGCUAGCCCUUUCUGAGACCGCAAAACAUAAAUGCACAACACCUCGGAAGAACAAGGAUUGACUAGACAUUGUAAUUCUUGGUAAAAGAGAUCUAGUCAUACUCAUACUCAAUAUCAAUUAAUAACCAAGCAUACAAAUGAGGGAUGUGCUCUCUAACUGGUGCCUUUUUAUAAUAAGAGGAUGACUCAAGAGUAAAGUAAAAUAGAUAGGCCCUACGCAGAGGGAAGCAUUGAUUUACAAAGGUGCAAGAGAUCGACCUUUUAAAACGGGGAUGAAACAAAAUUUUGGGUGGUAUGCUUUCAUUGUCAACAUAACAACUAAGAGA
rnacentral:lncRNA from 1 species